UUUCUCUUCUUCAUUUUUUUUCCCCUUUGAAGUCUUUCAACAAAAAUGGGUGGCAUCAUCUCAACCUUCUUCUCAGCGGACACAAUUCGUCCAAUUUUAUUUUACGUCGGUGGACAAGCAAAGAAUAUAUGGGGUCUUAAAGGUAAUCUCGAUGACUUGCAAACUGAAACGGAGAACUUGAUUGCGAAAAAACAAGAUCUGCUGAAUAAGGUUAGGCUUGCUGAACAAACACAGCCUCGUGGCCAACGGACGAGCACGGUGAAACUCUGGUUCGAAAGGGUGGAUCGAAGUGUAACUCUUGUUGAGGGGCUGCAACAAGAAAGAGAUCAAGAGAUUGACAGAUUGUGUCUUGGAGGCUUCUGUUCCAAGGACUUGAUUUCAAGCUACGACUUCGGCAAAAAGGUGGAGAAGUUGAAGGAAGAAGUAAUCAAAUUGAGAGAAAAAGGAGAAGCGAUGAAAGAAGUUUAUGAGGGGGUACCGGAAGGUGCAGCGGUUGCAAUAGCUGUUGACCGAACAAUUGUUGGUCAAGAAUCAAUACUUGACCAAGUUUGGAGAUGCAUCACUGAUCAAAAAAAGAAUAAUGGAAUUAUUGGCUUAUAUGGUAUGGGGGGCAUUGGCAAAACUACUCUGUUAAAACAAGUCAAUAACAAAUUCUGCAGUGAGGAGCAUGAUUUUGAUGUCGUUAUCUGGUCGGUUGUAUCUAGAGAGCCAAACUUGAAUCAGAUUCAAGAGGAUAUUGGCAAAAGGAUAGGCUUCUCAACAGAUUCAUGGGAGAGAAAAAGUUUUGAAGAAAGGGCUUCAGACAUCACCAAUACUUUAAAGCAUAAGAAGUUUCUAUUGUUAUUGGAUGAUAUAUGGGAGUCCGAAAUUGAUUUAACCAAAUUGGGCGUCCCUCUUCAGACACUAGAUUCUGGGUCCAGAAUAGUCUUCACAACUCGUUUUGAGGGUACUUGUGGUAAAAUGGGAGCCCAUAAGAAUCGGUACAAAGUGUUUUGUUUGGGAGAUGAGGAUGCCUGGAAAUUAUUUGAGGGGGUGGUCGGGAGAUACGUUCUUAACAAGCAUCCCGACAUUCCGAAGUUAGCUGAGGAUGUGGCACGUCAGUGUCAUGGUUUGCCGCUAGCACUCAAAACAGUAGGUAAUGCCAUGGCGAGCAAAGAGUACCCUGAAGAAUGGAAAGAAGCAAUUGAGAUCCUAAGCGAAUCAGCUUCUAAAUUCGAAGGUAUGGAGAAAAAGGUGCUUUCGAGCUUAAAGUUCAGCUAUGACAGUUUGCCGAAAGAUGAACUUCGAUCUUGUCUCCUGUACUAUUGUUUAUUUCCCGAAGACUCUGAAAUUGAAAAAACCGAGUUGAUAGAGUAUUGGAAAAGUGAAGGAUUUGUGGAUUCCAGCAGCGGGUGGGGGGUUCUUGGUGCUCUCGUUCGGGCAUGCUUAUUGGAGGAAGCAGGUGAUCGUGUAAAAAUGCACGAUAUGAUCCGUGACAUGGCAUUAUGGAUAGCAAAUGAAGUAGAGGAGGAGGAGGAGAACUUUUUGGUUCGUGCAGGAGUUGGAUUAACUGACGCCCCAAAGAUUGAAGAAUGGGAAGGGAUCAAAAGGAUAUCCUUGAUGAGGAACAAAAUUCGAAGUCUACCACAAAUUCCCACUUGUCCGCGUCUGCAAACAUUGCUUCUGGCGAGUAAUCGUAUUAAGGAGAUCACUGAGAGUUUCUUUCAAUCUUUGCCUUUGCUUAGAGUUUUGAAUCUAAGUGAAAAUCAUUACCUAACUGAACUACCUGUAGGGAUUUCAAGAUUGGUUUCAUUACACCAUCUUGAUCUGUCUUUUACUGAAGUGCGUGGGUUGCCGCAAGAGCUCAAGGCAUUGGUGAAUCUGAGAUAUUUGAACUUGGAGUAUACAAGUGAAAUGUCUAGAAUUCCAGAGCAAUUAAUAUCAAGCUUUUCGAAGUUACAGGUACUCAGGAUGCUGUAUUGCGGUCCACGUCUCCAGCCAAUAGUGGAAGAAGGCAACGUUCUAUCUGCUGAUGCUGAAUCAUUGAUGAAGGAAAUCCACUGUUUGGAACAAUUAAAUCUCAUCACCUUGUCCUUACAUGGUUCGCGUGGUGUUGAAAACUUUCUGAAAUUCCCAAAGCUGCAGAAUAUCACUCAAGCUCUGCACAUCGAAGACUGCAACAGUCUACCGCUCAAUUUGUUGCAUCUAGCAAACAUGGAGCAUCUUGAGAAGUUAUUUAUCGAGGAUAGUAAUUUGGAAGACUGGAAUGUCGACUGCGCGGGAGAGGUACAAAAAAUGCGUAAACUUCACUUUGUUUCAAUAUACGAAUGCUCAAAUGUGAAGGACUUAACGUGGCUUGUUUUUGUUCCAAAUCUCAAGUGGCUGCGAAUAUUUGAUUGUGAUGACAUGGAAGAAAUAAUCAGUGUUGAAAAUUUUGAAAAAUUGAGUGAAGUUUCAGAGAUGAUGGGAGAGCUUAACUUGUUCUCGGAACUCGAAUCUCUGAAUCUAGGAUAUGCAAGUAAUUUGAAGCGCAUCUACCGCGAUCCCUUGCCCUUUCCACAGCUGGAGCAAAUUUACAUAUCGAAAUGCCCAAAGUUGAAGAAGCUCCCGCUCAAUUCCAGCAGCGCAAAGGGACGUAAAAUUGUCAUUUACGGGGAGAAAGAAUGGUGGGAAGAGCUACAAUGGGAGGAUCAAGCCACUCAAAGUGCUUUCUCUCCCUGUUUGGCUGUUUCGUGCCUUCAUGAAUAAUAAAGUGCAAUAAGGCGCAAAAGUGUGAAUAAAGUUUCUGCGUGUGCUUAAUGAUUAUCUUGUCUAUCCAUUUCAUUUAAUUUAAAAGCUUUCUACGGUGUUGCGUGUGUGUCACUUGUCAUUCUUCUGCACUGCUGUUUCCUAUUUCCAGUUAAUAAAAUUUUUUUGUUCUUAGAAAUGCUUUGCUGGUAAUAUAUUCUAUUUACUUUCCUCCUAUUUUCAUUACAGCUAAUAAUUGCAUAGUUGUAUAAUUUUUUAAUAUUAUCUUUAUUUUUAAAUAUACUUUUAUUUAUAUUUAUUAUAAAUUAAAUAAAUGUAUGAAUAGAAAUUAAAAUGAAAACUAAGUAUUAAAACAAGAAAUAUAUAUUUUGAUUUGAAUAAAAAUAUAAAUAUUUGUUUGUACUUUUUUAUAUAUAUAUUCAAUAUAAGAAAAUAUUUAUAAAAUAAAAAGUGUAAGAAAAAUAUCUUAUUAUUAAUUCUUAUUCACAUCAAAACAUAUAUUUCUUACUUUAAAUACUUAAUUUUUUAUUCAAAUUAUCAUUCAUAUGAUUUAUUUAAUUUAUAAUACAUAUAAAUAAAAAUAAUAUUGUAAAUUAUGUUGUUAGAAAUUAUUAGUUAUUAUAAAAAUAAUAUGGGACAAAUGGUAAAUCGGAGAUAUUGUUUCCUAUUUUCAGCUAAAAAAUUUAUUUGUUCUAAUAAUUGCUUUGCUAGUAAUAAGGCCUGCAAGUUGCUUAACUGAAUAUGACUUCUUUUUUAAAAAUGUUACUAUCAAUUUCGAUGAUUGAUUAUCUCGAAGUAGUGAAAUUUAUGUAAUGUUGGUAUUAAAAAAAUUUGUGCUACUGAUAAAAAAAGUCCAUUGGAUUCGGCCUAAAUGACGGAUCGUGGCUUGAUUUUCUCAUCCCAAAGGCUCUGUAUCUCACUUUCGAAAGUAGUUUUAGCAUAAUGUAGGUGAAAAAUUAAAAUAUUCUGCGAUCUCUAUAUAGCUUUUCCAACAGAUUUCACCCAUUUGACUGUAGACCAAAGCAUCCAUUGGAUCGAUGCAUUUAUUAAGAAGAGGAUCAUUCGGAGCUACAAUUGGAGGAUCGAGUCACGCAAAGAGUUUUCUCUACUUGUUUCGAUCCUAUGGAGAUAGAGUUUUCAUAGAUUGAUGGUAGGAGCUUUUUUGUCAAUUUAUGUAUCUAAUUGUGUGUAACAUGCUUUCUUGUCUUUCAUAUCAGACAUUGUAAAUUUGUAAUGUUGCCAUUUUCUUUUUCCUAUCAAGAAAGAAAGAGCAUUGCGAGUAGUCUUUCCAAUUUUCACUCCUUUUUGGUAUGUGAAGAAAAAUAAUAAAGCAAAACAAACUAGUGUUGAAGAAAAAGAAAAUGACAAGUUCAAUAGGGCAAAAGUUCACCAUCCCUUUACCAUUUGCUCAAGCAAGUAAGCUUUACGUUUACUUCUUGAGAUUUGAACUAACCAGACAACUUGUAAUGUUACCAUAAAGUUCAAAGAUUAGAAGAGAAAAACUUAUGUCUGUUAGGCACUAUUAUUCAGGCUUAAAUAAUAACAAUAAAAUACUACACCAUGUCUGCUCUCUUUUACUUUUCUUGGUUCUGUUGUAAAAUUCAGUUCUAUUUGAAGGAAAUUAUUAACAUCAAAACUAAAUACUUCGUGAGCAUCUACUGACAACAUACUCCAGAUGACACCAUAACCAUAUCAUAUAAAGCAAGAAAUGUGAAAUAAAUACAAAAUGAAUCAUAGGAGGGAAUUACCACACUCUGCGGUCUCUCCUGCUAAACCCUGCAGUUAGAAUGCCAUUUGUCGUGAGCACCUGAAUCCCCAAAGGACUCCCAGCUUCAAGUGGCUUUGACUUAGCUUGCUUUAGCUCCAUUGCACAUACUCACUCACAUGAAGGAAAUGAACAGAACAAGAAACCUCAUCAUGCCGAAUAUGAUAGAUAUGACAAGGCAUUACACUGUAGGAAGCUCCCGAUUUCUCUACAAAACUCUGCAGGUUCUCCACAAUCAAGGCGUGCUCCAUCUUUAACAGAUCACUUCUACCAUUAAGAGAAGGAAGAGAGUUCCUCUCGUGUGGCAGUAAAUCCUUACUUAACACAGGAUUGAAGCCAACCAAGAACGGAAGGCAAUUUCGUUAGAUUAAGAACCGAAUCACCAUCCAAUAUAGUAGCAUUUGAACCAGAACUCUUGUUAAAUUCUUGAAAUCUCCUGCUUUCAUCAGUCUGUAAGAGAAAUGAAGAUGAGAAUAAUAGCCAGAACCGGAUUAAAUUCAAUCUGGUCUUUUGAAGACUUCUAUAACAACUAAGAGAACCCAGUGUACCGCCUACAGAUACUGUCAGGCUUCUAUCAAAUAUCCCAAACACCAAAAACCAACCCAAUUAAGCUAACAAACCUGCAUGAAUAUCUAAAUUUCAAUGCACGUGAAACAAACUCCGUGUUCAAUCCACCAAAACUAGCAAAUUUCAAACUUUAUCACUCAUCAUUCUCUCUCUGUCAGCUGUAUGAGGCUAUGAGAUCAUGUUAUAAUGUUCAUAUUGAUGCUGAAUGUUUUGCCAGCUUGUCUGAAUUCCAUAAGAGAAUGCAAUGUGCACAUUAUUGUGCCUUGCCCACCAUUAGAUUCUAAACCACAAAAUCAUUGUGUGAAGUAGCUGACGUUUCGCACAUUCUUAUCCCUUAUCAUCAAUAUUCUUCUCCUCAAGCUUAGAUCAUGGAAAUUUGAGUGACAAACAUGAUAACAUGGUAACACCAUCUAAACUUUAGGGGCAUAAAGUAACAUAGAAGCAACAUGGGAUGUUUUAAAAUCUAUUAUAAUUUGCUUAGGCCCCUGAAUAAAAUUAAAACUUGUAAUGAAAUAAAGUAGCAAAAUAAAGAUUGGAGGUCGCAUGCUUGAUAUUUGAUGCUGUCAAAAUUAAUUUGCAGUGCUGAAAUUGCUGCUCCAAUAAAUUUUUCAAUGGGAUUUCUAUAUUUACAACAAAUUUUCAGUAUUGAAACAGGAUUAAAAUCAUAAAGUAUCUUUUAAACAGCAGAGGCAACAAGAUCCUACAGAAAAAGAAGGCAAAAAGUAGUUACAAGCUACAGAAACGCAAAUAUUCUACUGGCCAACUCCCACUAAAUUCGAAGCAAUUCUAAAAUCUCAGCUUGUACUACGACAUCAUUCCUUCUAUGUGGCCCAACUGUACUUCACCCAGAAAUCACAUUUCUUCAUCAGAGAUAAUUUUACUUCUAAUAAGAGAGAAUUUUUUAUAUGCAUGGCUUUACAGUAAUGAAUAAUUUUCCUUAAAUCUUUUCUAACAGACAAGAAAGCACAAAGCACAAAAAUUGAUAUAAACAACUUUUCUCGAAGCUUUUUCAUAAGAAAACCUGAACAUGAUUGCUUCUCUUAGAAGGCCCCCUAGCUUCCUGCAAGAACCUUGUGCCCCCAAAAAAAACAAAGGAUUAUAAUUAGGCAUAAGGCUCCCAAUGUUCUUGCAGGAAUUAUGAUGAAUAUGAGAGUUUCAAAAAAGAAAAAAAAAUAUUACGACAACCUCUAGGCGGAGGAAAUCAGUUUUCUAGGAAUUCGUUAGAUUGGUGAAGUUAUAGAACCGCAGCAAUUUGCUGUAGUUUGGAAUGUUUUUGCCUUUCAUUAUAGCAUUUGAAAAGGCUCAAGGAUAUAGAAGAACCUUGGCUACAAAUUCAGGGAAGAUUUCACUUAUAAUGAGAAAUAAUCACCAUUAUUAUAUACAAUGAGAAAACAGUUAUGGAAGAAAUAGAAAGAAUUACCCGAAACGGAGGAUUUGGAAGACAAUGAGACAAAAGUAUAAAGAAGAAGAAAUUGGAGAUAUAAUGACUGCCUAUUUCUUUGAUGAACCCAUCAAAAACGGCUUGAAAAUUAAAGAAAUUGUAAAAUGCUGUAACGGAGGAAUUGAAACUGUAAAAGAUGCAAGUUAAUUCAUGGGGCUGGCCAUCUUGAUUGAUUGAACACCUAUUAGAUUUUUAAUAUUAAAGAACUCACUUUAAUGAUGUUUAAUUGGUAGUAGCCCUUUAUAGUCUUUAAACCUUUAGCAGUGCAAAGUCACAAGCUUUGUCCAGAAUCUAAGGGCGUAAGUUAUAGGCGAUGGGUGCCAUCACCUGGGCAACGACGUACAUCGCUUGGGCGACAAGCCAAUUUACUAGGCUCAUCGCAAACAGCCUUCGUCGCCUGGGCGAUGGCCAAAUCCAUCCAAUAAACUUUCAGCUCAUGUUUGAUAGUCUAAAAAAAGUAGUUAUGGUGGCCAUCACACAUCACAUUUUACUGACAAGCUGUCUUAAUUUUCAUAGAAAAUUGUUCCUACUGAUUUUCCAAUACUGGCCUAAUACUUGCAGAUUAUUAAACGAUUAUGGAAUGGCGGCGAUUUUAGACCAGUAAUUUUGUCAAUAAUUGCUAAUUCGCAAUCCCUUUACAAAUCUAAUAAUCUACUGCAUACACGCUCUUGAUGACUUGGAUUCUCAAAAAAUAACCAUUUUACGCCGCUGAAGCGCAGAAAAAUCAAUUGUUUUAUCCACUUCCAAAUAAAACUUAUUCUAGUAAAUGCGAUAAAGAAAUGUUUAUUUCAAUUUCCAACCCAGAUCUCAUAAAGAAUUUCUCACUCAAAUAAACAAAUAAAUAUCAUCUGGUAAUGGUAUGACAUUUAUUUUGAAGUAAACACUGGCCCACUAUUUUCUCAAUUUUCCAUUGUUUGAGGACACCAUUUUCUCAAUUGAAGAACAUGUUCUGGCCAAAAUUCACAAUUUUCUCCACGUGAUUUAAAGCACACAGGAUUCACACUUUUCUCCACGUGAUUUAAAAGCACACAGAAUUCUCCUGACCUUAAUUACGGAUCUUAUUAUGUUUAUUGAAAUCCAAUAUUGUAGACUCAUUGUUGUAGCUAGAAAAUCAUAUUAAUAGAGUAAAAUUUAUAAAUAAUCAAAGAAAAGAGUUCACGCUCUUACUUCAUUACUUUUAUAAUCUUAUUAGUAUAUCUACUUACAUGUCUUCAGAAAAUACAGUUUUAAGAGGAUAUUUUUAUUUUUCUUCGUAAUAAUAGAUUUAAUUUUCAUCUUUCUAAUGUUAAGUUGCAUAUUUGGAGUAAAUAAUAUUAAAUUUCAAAUUAGAUCACAGACCCCAUUUUAAUAGAUUCAAUUGGAUUUUGGACAUCUAAUUAAACAACUGGACUAAUAAAUUGCAAAUGAAUGAGAUUUAUAUGUGAUUUUAAAAUAAAAUUUGAACUCAAAUCUAUGUAUUUAAUUAAUCCAACAGGACAAAUUUAUAAUUUUCACCAACUAAAUAAAAUAUGUUAUCAGAAACUUUUGGACCAAGUCGCGCACUUCGUGGGUCUGCUACUACUUAUAGUCCAUUCUCAUUCAACUUUCACAUCUUUUAUAUUAUGUACAAAUUGGAUUAUAUUCUAAAACAGUGUUUCUAAUUGUUUAACGUUUUAUUUCUGGGUAUAUUUAGAGAUUAAAAAAUAUGGGAAACAUAAUUAAUUUUAUCAAAUAAAAAGGAGUAUUGUUCAUUUUUUCAUAAACAAUGUGUUAAAAUACUUUUGGUAUUUAAGAAGUAAAAAUUUUUAUUUUUGUUUCAUAAAAAAGCAUUCAAAAUUAUAUUAAAUAAAAUUAAAGAUUAACAAAACUGACAUCUGAAUUUCGUGCAAAUUAUAAUAAGUUUAUCUCCAGCGUGAGUAACAUUAAAGCUUGGCUAGCAUCAUCAUAUUUUAUCUCCAGCAUCAAAAUUCUGAUAACAUCAACAUCAUAAUUCCAAGGUUGUCAAAACUAAUUAUCAAAUUAAAAUCCUUUGUGAUUUAAGCUCUCUUGGACUUUUAAAAAUGUUAUGCCACCCCUUCUUUAAUAAUAGUAGUAUAUGAUUAUGAUUUAAUUAUUUUAUUUUUUUAAUUUAUCAAACACCAAUCACUUAAAUUAAACUCAAGAAAAAAAUUAGAACAUCAAAGAAUUUUAAUUGCUUCUUAUUAAGUACUAGAAUUAACUUCUCCCAAUGAUAAUUUAUUAAGCAAACCAUAAUGAUCAUCUUACACUAAAGAACCAACCCAUCUUCAAAACACAAGAAUUUAGUACAAAUAAUUAUCCCAAUAAAGUUUAACGAAAAAGAAAAGAGAUAUUUUUAUUAUUUCUUUUACUUUCUUAGUGGCUCUGCUACUACCUAUAGUCCAUUCUUAUUCAACAUACAGAUCUUUUAUAUUAUAUGCAAAUUAAAAUAUAUUCUAAAAAGUGUAUCCAACUGGUUAACAUAUUAUUUCUAUAUAAUAAUCAAUUUUAUCAAAUAAAAAGGAGUUUUGGUCAUUCAUUUGGCUCCGUUGCCACUGUUGUACGCUACAAAAGCUUUUGUCUUUGCUGACUCAGUUACUGUAAAAUGUCGUUCAGCCCCUUAUACUCUAUUUUAUUUAUAAGAAUUAUAAAAAUUUCUAAUUACCUACACUUUCAAAAUUCAAUUUAUCUCCUUACAAUCUUUUUCAUUUACUUUUUUUUGUAAGUAUUAAAAAGUUUCUAUUUACAACCACGACAUAGUAAUCAUCAUAACACACGAAUAUUUAUAAAAAUAUAAAAAUAUCACUAAAUUAAUACUAAAAAAUGUUUUCCUCUCUUGAGGAAUUAUGGUAUCUCAUUUUCGAUCACUCAUUAUCAACAAAAUUUUCAAAGAUAUGAUCAUUCAUCUUCUUUAUAAUAUCAUCUUAUAAUAAUUAAUACUUUCAUGAUUAAAAAAAUUAACAAAAUAAAGAUAAAUUCCCUUUGAAUCCAUCCCUCUCUACUAUCAUUUUCUCUUCAUUAGCAACAUUUAUCAAUAAUUGAAGCCACCAUCAGACUCAUCACACAGAGAGAGUGAGAGAGGGGAAGAAGAAACGGGAAAAAAAAAUAUAUGAGACAUUUACAAUUUUAUAGUGUGUUUAUUCAACGAGAUUCAUAUAUAGUUGCUAAGGGGUUUCAUUAGACACAGAGAGUUUAUUACACUGAAACUUUUAAUCCAGUAGUUAAGGCCUCAACAAUCAGAGUUAUUCUUAGCCUAGCAGUACUUAACAAGUGGAUAAUCAGACAAGUGGAUAUUAAUAAUGCCUUAAUGGCAUUUCAGUUGAAGAAGUUUACAUGGCACAACCUGAGGGAUUUGUGGAUCCUACUAAACCCCAACACAUCUGCAAAUUAAAAAGGACUAUAUAUGGCUUGAAGCAAGCUCUCAGGGCUUGGUUUGAUAGAUUCAAAGCUGCAAUGAUUACUCAAUGACAUUUUCAACACUCAAAAUCAGAUAAAAAAUAUCAAAAUAUUUAUAUCAUUAAACUUUUAGGCCUAAUUAACUAAUUAAAGUUCUAAAUUUUUAUUUAGGACAUUAAAAAGACCGGAUAGAUUCUAUUAGCCCAAAAAUUUUAUUUUAAUUUUAAUAUUCAUUAAAUAUUUUAAACUUAAAUCUAUUUUUUAUUUAUUUUUAGAUGUUAGAAUUGCCCACAGCGAAUCACAAUUUUAAUAUCUAAUCUAAUUUAAUCUAAUAUUUGCUCUUGAUUUGCUCUUACUUAACUAUUGUGUUGUAAAGGGAAUAGUCCACAUUUAUAAAGUGCCCACGCCACCCUUGAAAAAGUUAAUUUUGAAUCUAAAUUUGAUUUUAUUUGUAACAAUUUUGUAUUAGACUAUUAAUUUAUUUAUGAUAGUUUGUAAAAGAAGUUUGUAUCCCUUGCAUGCUGCGUUACUUACUAAUUUAAUGUAUGUGACUUUUGUAAUGGAUAUUAAUGCAAGAUAUUUUUCGAACUUUACUUUUAUUUAAAUUUUAUUUUAAUAUGAUUAACUCAAAUCGAAAAUAAAAAAAUGUAUUAAUUAUUCGGGGAUCGGGGACCCUCGGGGAUCCCCUAUUAUUAUUCGGGGAGGAGAUAGAGAUUCUCUUAAGUAAUUCUGACAGGGACGGGAAGGGGAUGAGGACAUACACAAAAUAUUGGGAAUGGUUACGGGGAGAUUGGUCCCCUCCCCUCCCCUCCCCAUUGCCAUCCCUAACUCCCUGACUAAAUAAUUUGGGAAUAUAAGGAUGCAAUAAGAGUUGAGUGGUCUUUAUUCCCAUAGCAUUAUUUUUUUCUCGCUUCAUCCGUGCUCUAUUCAAUCUUUAUGUGCCGCUUGUGUUAUGUUCCUGCAUAUCUAAUUACCUUUAGCUGCUUGUGUUAUGUUUACUUGUUUUGAUCUUAAUCUUUAAUCACUUAGCCUGAAUAAGAAAUAAUUUUUUAUAUUUGCUCUGCAAUGAUGUUAUUCGGUGUUAAUAGCUUCGUUUUGUUACUCUUUUCCGCACAGAUUCUUGAUCUCAACAGAACUUUUAUUUUGAAUAUUCUGCAUAAGGACAAUCUCAUUUAAUACCAUCAGUGAUUUUUCAUUUUUUUUCUCUUUAGUUUUAAUAUGUUUGAUAACUGUAUGGCUAAGCAAUCUAUGCAAUUUUAUCUUGUCGUAUGUUUGAGCUCAUUUUUUGUUGCAAUUCUGAAUAUUUGGUAUGAAUUAUGUGAUACCGGACAAUACUGUUAACUUGUUCAUUUCUUAAUUUUAAUAUCUUGUCAAAGUCACUAAUAGCAUUUCAUCAUGCUAUGAGUUAAACAUGGAACAAAUGACGACAUGCAGUUGUGGAAUGUGGUAGAUCUCUGGAAUUCUAUGUCCUUAUGCUUGUAGGGCAACACAAUACAUUAGUUAAAACAUUAAAGACUAUGAUGUCCGCAGAAAAUUAUAUGUCAACAUAUGCACCAGGCAUGAUGAAAUUAGCCAAAGACAGUGCUUGGAAACAAUUAACUAACUUUUGGCAUUAGGCGUAUCAAGUUCAAUUCGGUAUUUCACAAAACUUAAACUAACUUAUUCCUAAUUAUAGUGGACACAAUUAACUAACUUUGGCAACUGUUCUGAAGAGGAUGACUUCUUCAGGAUGACAUCAACUACCAGCGAUGAUACUAUCAGUAAGCUGCUUCUGCUAUCUAUUAAAUAUUACUGCUAAACGUAAUAUUGACAAUUUGUCUGUGUGCAGGCCUGUGAUAACCACUUGGAUCGGAUAAAGGACUGGGACAUCAACAAUUUGCCCAGAAACCAAUAAGAUAUCAUUGUAAUGUUUAAUUAUACAUGUAUUAGUUUCUCUUUGGAUGGUGCUCUUUGUUAUGCAAAAGUAUGGCGACUAUGUUUCAACCAGUGUAUCUAUUAUAUACACUAACUAUGAAUUACUAGAAAUUUUAUUACAUUAAUCAUUUUUAGAUAGCCACUCAUCUCAAACGAAACAAACUGGUCAGAGACACUUGACCCAACAUGCUUGUGAUCGACCUUAGAAUAAAUUUUUCUCACUCAAUAUAGACAACUUCUGUGAGGUUAAUAUUUCUUCAAAUGUCAAGAAAAGCAUUGGCCACAUAAAUGCAUACACAUGUUUUUGUUGGGAAGUUAAGCAGACGGGAACAACAUUGGACUAUAUACUCAUACACCAAACUUUAAUAAACUAAUAAAUAUAAUUUAAUAAUAAUUUAUUUCUCCUCGCUUAUGUGAGAAAAAGUCAAACCACAUAACGUAUUUAUAUUUUGUUAAGAAAUUUUACUGAUUGAACUAAUUAACACUAAUUUCUUAUCUCUCUUAACCAACGGAUAUUUUGAAGAUAGUUUUUUAUUUUCUAUAUUUUAUGUACUAAAUGAUUUUAAACCUCUAUCACGUCAUGAAUAAAUUGGAGUUUAGGUUGCUUAAAAUAAUAAUAAUAAUAAUAAUAAUAAUAAUAAUAAUAAUAAUUAAUAAAUGUAUUGAUGGAUUUCAUAAUCAUCCCACUUAGGGGUGGGCACGGUUCGGUUCGGUUCGAAAUUAAGUAGAACCGAUUUAAAUCGGUUAUUUUAUAAAAAGAACCGAAUAAGAACCAAACUCAAUAAGAACCAAACUCAAUAAGAACCGAACUCAAACGGUUCUUUUCGGAUCGGUUCGGUUCGGUUCGGUUUUUUCGGUUCUGGGUCUAUUGGGCCUAUUUUGAAUUUUUAAAUUUUUAGCCCAUUGGGCCUCAUAAAUGUAAUAAUUUUUUUCAACAAUUAAUUUAUCCUAAUUUUAUUACAAAUAUUAACAAUAAAUACAAAGUAUUCAAAACACAUUUUAUCACUAAUAUCUUACUAAUUAUUAAUAAGAUACUCCCAAAAUAUGAAAUAUUAAAAUUUCAAAAUACAUAACCAAACUCCAAUACUCCAUCUAUAUAAACAUAAUCAUAAUGUUAUAAAGAGAAAUAACACAUGUUUGAUUUGAAUAAAAUCAUGUUUGAUUUGAAUAAAAUUAUUAACACAUGUUUGAUUUGAAUAAAAUAAAAAAAUAAUUCGGUUCUUCGGUUCGGUUUUUUGGUUCAGCUAAGUGAACCGAAUACCGAACCGACAUUUCAGUUUUUUUUACAAACGGUAUAUUCGGUUUUUUUAAAAAAUAAAAACCGAACCGAAUUAAAAAAAACCGUCGGUUCGGUUUUUUUUAACAUUACGGUUUUUUUGCCCACCCCUAAUCUCACUCCUACGCCUCAAGACAAACAAGCUCACACUUCACGGAUCAGUCAAAGGAUCGGCUUUCAAGUCGUUGAAUUCACGGUGGUCAAACUAACGGAAAAACUAACGUGACGUCAAUCAGAUACGGUUUAUAAUAUAUGUAUCCUCAAUCAACGCAAAAAGUUUGAUCUGAAAAACCCUCUGCCUAAAACGCGUUUUCAGAAACGCGGUUUUGUUUUUCAAGUGGUUCCCAGAGCAUCCAUGCCAUGCUCUGUAUCAAUCAUUUCGUGCAUGUUUGGAGUUUGGCACGGCCAUUUUUACUGACUUUGUUAAGAAGUACUUAGAAGCUCAUUAGGAAAUGAUAACAAACGAAGCCUUGCGCUUUUACAUGUUACAUGCAUUAUUGGUAAGACGGUUGAUGAGUUACGUUAUAUGAACCCACAAUUAGUCGCCCAAUAGCCACCAUAUAUUAAAUAAUCAGUCAAAUUUUGAAUUGGGUAGUUAACUAAUUUCGAAUUACCGUAAGUCAUAAAUAAUGCAGGUUAGUAAGACCCGAGCCUAGGCAAAUUAAGGUCGUUAUCGCCUCUAAAUCAAGGCUGCAUAACCCAAAGUUAAGGGCACAUGUUCGAGUCCCAACUCCACAGUGUUGGAACUCUAUUAUAGUAUUAUUCCCUUUCACAUUAAAAGGAUAGGAUGGUUAUUUCUCUUACAUAUGUAGAUAGAUCAAAUAUAUCUUCUAAAUAAUAAUAGAUUUAUCAUUUUAAAGAGUUGUUUUAGAUAUGUGGAUAGAUCAAAUAAUAGACACCCUUUCCAUGAAAGGAGACUCAUUGAUUAUUGUUAAAAAAAAAAUUCGUUGAUGUUAUUAGAGAACUUGCAAUUUUUUUAUAACACUAAAUUUUUUAAUUUUUUAAGAUUUUUCUAUGAAUAGCAUGAAUUUUUUAUAGCAUUGGUAAUGAGGAUAUUAUGGACCUUUAGAUUUAAAUAUUUUAAUCUUCGCCAUUCAUUCAAUUUAGUGGAUAAAUAACUAAUUACUUAAUUUUUCAAGUUGCAUGUAGUAUAUAAGUUUAUGUAUGUAAUUCUAUUUUUAAUAAAUAAAUAAAUAAAUUUUAAAUCACUAACAAAAAAAAAUGCAAAUAUGUAUGUUAGUUUAGACGUGUACAUAAUAGAUAUGAAUUGAUAUUAUUUAAUUAUUGCACAAGACAUGCUAAUAAUGAUCUCUUUUGUCAAUAAUAAUCAGGAGAAUAAAAUGUUAAUUUCUUGAUUUUACUGGAUGGCUAAGAUCGAGUUAAGUCAAUUUUCGUUAUAUUUGUUAAUCUAAUAAUAUGUUGGCGAAAAAGAGGGAAUAUGAUUACAAACUAAGAUUGAGUUAAUUUUUUUAAUUCAGUCUUUAAAAAAUUGUACAACUGGUUUGAUAAUUGGUUAAUGAAAUUUUAAAUAACUAAAAUCAAGAUAUUAUUUUAACUAUAACUUCUAAUUUUGUACCAAACGUUGAUGAUCUUGAUGGGCGCAGAGGAUAGUUGGGUACGGUGCUGUAGUGGGCAACUAUGAGGAUAAAGUGAUGGUGACUGGAAUUGACAUAGGGGUAUACUUGGAUGAUGUUGAUUAUAGUGCGGCUGAGGCUUUAUGCUUUAGCUUAGAGUUGCUUAUCAAGAAUCUAUUAAUAACACAUUAUACUCAUACACCAAAGUUUAAUCUGAAUGAAUCAAGUAAUUCUAUGUUAAUAAAAGUUUUUAGACUUACGAUGAGGGUCUAGUUUAUAUAAAUGCAAAUAACACUGAAAUCUAAUAAUCCUUUACAAAUAAAUAUGAUUUAUUCAAUUAUCGCAAACAAUUGUUUUAUCAGAGUUAAUUACAUUAUUGCUAAACUUGUAUAAGCUUUCCUGUUUCAAGCAUAUCUACUUAAUUACAUUAUUCAUCGACAAUGUUACUUUGCUAGUAGAAGUUUUAUGUUUUCAUACCUUAAUCACUAUUUAACGCUUCGUUUUCCAAUAGUUCUAAUUCUUCAAAUUUUGGUUUUAUUCUUCCAUAAUUAUAAAUUGAUACUGAUUCGCACGACUCAAAUUAAAGUGGUUAAUUACUCUAAAAGUAUAAAUUUGGCAGUCAAUAAUUACUUAAAAAUAAUUGCAAAAAAAUUAAUAAGGAAUAGUAUAAAUUUAAAAACCGCUAAAGUUACGAGAUCCAUGCUUGAUAUUUAAAUCAUGGUCAUAAUACUCUUUCUCUCUCUCUCUCUCUCUCACACACACACACACAUAUAUAUAUAACCACUUUCAAUAUUAUGUUACUUAGUUCUUAAUUAACCGCUCUAUAAAUAAAUAUGAGAAUUAAGUACAUAUUAUGCUACAACCUUAUUGGAGUGUUCCCACUACCAUAUUAGUAGUCAACAUUAGGUCUAAACACCCACAUAAUAUUUUUGGUGAACUUGCAACCACAACCUUUAAAUUAGGGGUGGGCACGGUUCGGUUCGGUUCGAAAUUAAGUAGAACCGAUUUAAAUCGGUUAUUUUAUAAAAAGAACCGAAUAAGAACCAAACUCAAUAAGAACCGAACUCAAACGGUUCUUUUCGGAUCGGUUCGGUUCGGUUCGGUUUUUUCGGUUCUGGGUCUAUUGGGCCUAUUUUGAAUUUUUAAAUUUUUAGCCCAUUGGGCCUCAUAAAUGUAAUAAUUUUUUUCAACAAUUAAUUUAUCCUAAUUUUAUUACAAAUAUUAACAAUAAAUACAAAGUAUUCAAAACACAUUUUAUCACUAAUAUCUUACUAAUUAUUAAUAAGAUACUCCCAAAAUAUGAAAUAUUAAAAUUUCAAAAUACAUAACCAAACUCCAAUACUCCAUCUAUAUAAACAUAAUCAUAAUGUUAUAAAGAGAAAUAACACAUGUUUGAUUUGAAUAAAAUCAUGUUUGAUUUGAAUAAAAUUAUUAACACAUGUUUGAUUUGAAUAAAAUAAAAAAAUAAUUCGGUUCUUCGGUUCGGUUUUUUGGUUCAGCUAAGUGAACCGAAUACCGAACCGACAUUUCAGUUUUUUUUACAAACGGUAUAUUCGGUUUUUUUAAAAAAUAAAAACCGAACCGAAUUAAAAAAAACCGUCGGUUCGGUUUUUUUAACAUUACGGUUUUUUUGCCCACCCCUAAUCUCACUCCUACGCCUCAAGACAAACAAGCUCACACUUCACGGAUCAGUCAAAGGAUCGGCUUUCAAGUCGUUGAAUUCACGGUGGUCAAACUAACGGAAAAACUAACGUGACGUCAAUCAGAUACGGUUUAUAAUAUAUGUAUCCUCAAUCAACGCAAAAAGUUUGAUCUGAAAAACCCUCUGCCUAAAACGCGUUUUCAGAAACGCGGUUUUGUUUUUCAAGUGGUUCCCAGAGCAUCCAUGCCAUGCUCUGUAUCAAUCAUUUCGUGCAUGUUUGGAGUUUGGCACGGCCAUUUUUACUGACUUUGUUAAGAAGUACUUAGAAGCUCAUUAGGAAAUGAUAACAAACGAAGCCUUGCGCUUUUACAUGUUACAUGCAUUAUUGGUAAGACGGUUGAUGAGUUACGUUAUAUGAACCCACAAUUAGUCGCCCAAUAGCCACCAUAUAUUAAAUAAUCAGUCAAAUUUUGAAUUGGGUAGUUAACUAAUUUCGAAUUACCGUAAGUCAUAAAUAAUGCAGGUUAGUAAGACCCGAGCCUAGGCAAAUUAAGGUCGUUAUCGCCUCUAAAUCAAGGCUGCAUAACCCAAAGUUAAGGGCACAUGUUCGAGUCCCAACUCCACAGUGUUGGAACUCUAUUAUAGUAUUAUUCCCUUUCACAUUAAAAGGAUAGGAUGGUUAUUUCUCUUACAUAUGUAGAUAGAUCAAAUAUAUCUUCUAAAUAAUAAUAGAUUUAUCAUUUUAAAGAGUUGUUUUAGAUAUGUGGAUAGAUCAAAUAAUAGACACCCUUUCCAUGAAAGGAGACUCAUUGAUUAUUGUUAAAAAAAAAAUUCGUUGAUGUUAUUAGAGAACUUGCAAUUUUUUUAUAACACUAAAUUUUUUAAUUUUUUAAGAUUUUUCUAUGAAUAGCAUGAAUUUUUUAUAGCAUUGGUAAUGAGGAUAUUAUGGACCUUUAGAUUUAAAUAUUUUAAUCUUCGCCAUUCAUUCAAUUUAGUGGAUAAAUAACUAAUUACUUAAUUUUUCAAGUUGCAUGUAGUAUAUAAGUUUAUGUAUGUAAUUCUAUUUUUAAUAAUGACAAUUGAUUGUGUUAGCAUUUUGGUCAAAAAGGUGGACCCCCCCAAAAACAAACAAAAAAAAUUUAUGAUAAUAAUUAACAUUGAUAAAUAAAAAUAUUAAUAAUGGGUGUGUUAGCAUUUUGGUCCAAAGCCGAUUUGGCCUUGACAUUAAUUGGAAUUUUGGAUCUAUAAUAUGAUUUUCACCGAAAAGAUAAUUUUGCCGCUAAUUAUUUGGGUAGUCAGAUAAUAAUAACAAAAAAAUGUUAUCUCGAUCUCACCUAUAACUUGAGGAGAUAAUAAUGAUAGUCUUUCAUAAUACUCUACUGUUUAGUUUCUCUUCUUCAUUUUUUUCCCCUUUGAAGUCUUUCAACAAAAAUGGGUGGCAUCAUCUCAACCUUCUUCUCAGCGGACACAAUUCGUCCAAUUUUAUUUUACGUCGGUGGACGAGCAAAGUAUAUAUGGGGUCUUAAAGGUAAUCUCGAUGACUUGCAAACUGAAACGGAGAACUUGAUUGCGAAAAAACUAGAUCUACUGAAUAAGGUUAGGCUUGCCGAACAACAACAGCCUCGUGCCCAACGGACGAGCACGGUGAAACUCUGGUUCGAAAGGGUGGAUCGAAGUGUAACUCUUGUUGAGGGGCUGCAACAAGAAAGAGAUCAAGAGAUUGACAGAUUGUGUCUUGGAGGCUUCUGUUCCAAGGACUUGAUUUCAAGCUACGACUUCGGCAAAAAGGUGGAGAAGUUGAAGGAAGAAGUAAUCAAAUUGAGGGAAAAAGGAGAAGCAAUGAAAGAAGUUUAUGAGGGGUUACCAGAAGGUGCAGCGGUUGCAAUAGCUGUUGACCGAACAAUUGUUGGUCAAGAAUCAAUACUUGACCAAGUUUGGAGAUGCAUCACUGAUCAAAAAAAGAAUAAUGGAAUUAUUGGCUUAUAUGGUAUGGGGGGCAUCGGCAAAACUACUCUGUUAAAACAAGUCAAUAACAAAUUCUGCAGUGAGGAGCAUGAUUUUGAUGUCGUUAUCUGGUCGGUUGUAUCUAGAGAGCCAAACUUGAAGCAGAUUCAAGAGGAUAUUGGGAAAAGGAUAGGCUUCUCAACAGAUUCAUGGCAGAGAAAAAGGUUUGAAGAAAGGGCUUCAGACAUCACCAACACUUUAAAGCAUAAGAAGUUUGUAUUGUUAUUGGAUGAUAUAUGGGAGUCCGAAAUUGAUUUAACCAAAUUGGGCGUCCCUCUUCAGACACUAGAUUCUGGGUCCAGAAUAGUCUUCACAACUCGUUUUGAGGGUACUUGUGGUAAAAUGGGAGCCCAUAAGAAUCGGUACAAAGUGUUUUGUUUGGGAGAUGACGAUGCCUGGAAAUUAUUUGAGGGGGUGGUCGGGAGAUACGUUCUUAACAAGCAUCCCGACAUUCCGAAGUUAGCCGAGGAUGUGGCACGUCAGUGUCAUGGUUUGCCGCUAGCACUCAAAACAGUAGGUAAUGCCAUGGCGAGCAAAGUGUACCCUGAAGAAUGGAAAGAAGCAAUUGAGAUCCUAAGCGCAUCAGCUUCUAAAUUCGAAGAUAUGGAGAAAAAGGUGCUUUCGAGCUUAAAGUUCAGCUAUGAUAGUUUGCCGAAAGAUGAACUUCGAUCUUGUCUCCUGUACUGUUGCUUAUUUCCCGAAGACUCUGAAAUUCUAAAAACCGAGUUGAUAGAGUAUUGGAAAAGUGAAGGAUUUGUGCAUUCUAGCAGCGGGUGGGGGGUUCUUGGUGCUCUCGUUCGUGCAUGCUUAUUGGAGGAAGCAGGUGAUCGUGUAAAAAUGCACGAUAUGAUCCGUGACAUGGCAUUAUGGAUAGCAAAUGAAGUAGAGGAGGAGGAGGAGAACUUUUUGGUUCGUGCAGGAGUUGGAUUAACUGACGCCCCAAAGAUUGAAGAAUGGGAAGGGGUCAAAAGGAUAUCCUUGAUGCAGAACAAAAUUCAAAGUCUACCACAAAUUCCCUCUUGUCCGCGUCUGCAAACAUUGCUUCUGGCGAGUAAUCGUAUUAAGGAGAUCACUGAGAGUUUCUUUCAAUCUUUGCCUUCACUUAGAGUUUUGAGUCUAAGAAGAAAUCGUUCCCUGACUGAACUUCCUGUGGGGAUUUCAAGUCUGGUUUCAUUACACCAUCUUGAUAUGUCUUCUACUAAAGUACGUGGAUUGCCGCAAGAGCUCAAGGCAUUGGUGAAUCUGAGAUAUUUGAACUUGGAGUAUACACGUGGAAUGUCUAGAAUUCCACAGCAAUUAAUAUCAAGCUUUUCAAAGUUACAGGUACUCAGGAUGCUGCGUUGCGGUCGACGUUACCAGCCAAUAGUGGAAGAAGGCAACGUUCUAUCUGCUGAUGCUGAAUCAUUGAUGAAGGAAAUCCACUGUUUGGAACAAUUAAAUCUCAUCACCUUGUCCUUACAUGGUUCGCGUGGUGUUGAAAACUUUCUGAAAUUCCCAAAGCUGCAGAAUAUCACUCAAGCUCUGUCCAUCGAAGACUGCAACAGUCUACCGCUCAAUUUGUUACAUCUAGCAAACAUGGAGCAUCUUGAGGAGUUAUAUAUCGAGGAUAGUAAUUUGGAAGACUGGAAUGUCGACUGCGCGGGAGAGGUACAAAAAAUGCGUAAACUUCACUCGGUUCUCAUACGGAAUUGCUCAAAUGUGAAGGACUUGACGUGGCUUGUUUUUGUUCCAAAUCUCAAGUGGCUGCGAAUAGUUGGUUGUGAUGACAUGGAAGAAAUAAUCAGUGUUGAAAAAUUUGAAAAAUUGAGUGAAGUUUCAGAGAUGAUGGGAGAGCUUAACUUGUUCUCAGAACUCGAACUUCUGGUAAUAAGAAAUGCAAGUAAUUUGGAGCGCAUCUACCGCGAUCCCUUGCCCUUUCCACAGCUGAACCGAAUUAGCAUAUUGAAAUGCCCAAAGUUGAAGAAGCUCCCACUCAAUUCCAGCAGCGCAAAGGGACGUAAAAUUGCCCUUGCGGGACAGAAAGAAUGGUGGGAAGAGCUACAAUGGGAGGAUCAAGCCACUCAAAAUGCUUUCUCUCCCUGUUUCCGACCUAUUGAAGAAUAAAGUGCGAUAAGGCACAAAAGUGUGAAUAAAAUUUCUGCGCGUGCUUAAUGAUUAUCUUGUCUAUCUAUUUCAUUUAAUUUAAAAGUUUUCUACGGAGUUGCAUGUGUGUCACUUGUCAUUCUUCUGUACUGCUGUUUCCUAUUUCCAGUUAAUAAAAUUUUUUUGUUCUUAGAGUUAGAAAUGCUUUACUUGUAAGGGAGAUUCACAAUUUUCCCAUAUUAUGAUUAAUAUAUUCUUUUUACUUUCCUACUAUUUUGCAUAAUUUUUUAAUAUUAUUUUUAUUUCUAAAUAUAUUUUUAUUCAUAUUUAUUAUAAAUUAAAUAAAUGUAUGAAUAGAAAUAAAAAUAAAAAUAAAAAUUAAGUAUUAAAACAAGAAAUAUAUAUUAUGAUUUGAAUAAAAAAUAAAUAUUUUUUUGUACUUAGAAUGCCAUUUGUCGUGAGCACCUGAAUCCCCAAAGGACUCCCAGCUUCAAGUGGCUUUGACUUAGCUUGCUUUAGCUCCAUUGCACAUACUCACUCACAUGGAGGAAAUGAACAGAACAAGAAACCUCAUCAUGCCGAAUAUGAUAGAUAUGACAAGGCAUUACAUUGUAGGAAGCUCCCGAUUUCUCUAAAAAACUCUGCAGGUUCUCCGCAAUCAAGGCGUGCUCCAUCUUUAACAGAUCACUUCUACCAUUAAGAGAAGGAAGAGAGUUCCUCUCGUGUGACAGUAAAUCCUUACUUAACACAGGAUUGGAGCCAACCAAGAAGGGAAGGCAAUUUCGUUAGAUUAAGAAUCGAAUCACCAUCCAAUAUAGUAGCAUUUGAACCAGAACUCUUGUUAAAUUCUUGAAAUCUCCUGCUUUCAUCAGUCUGUAAGAGAAAUGAAGAUGAGAAUAAUAGCCAGAACCGGAUUAAAUUCAAUCUGGUCUUUUGAAGACUUCUAUAACAACUAAGAGAACCCAGUGUACCGCCUACAGAUACUGUCAGGCUUCUAUCAAAUAUCCCAAACACCAAAAACCAACCAAAUUAAGCUAACAAACCUGCAUGAAUAUCUAAAUUUCAAUGCAUAUGAAACAAACUCCAUGUUCAAUCCACCAAAACUAGCAAAUUUCAAACUUUAUCACUCAUCAUUCUCUCUCUGUCAGCUGUACGAGGCUAUGAGAUCAUGUUAUAAUGUUCAUAUUGAUGCUGAAUGUUUUGCCAGCUUGUCUGAAUUCCAUAAGAGAAUGCAAUGUGCACAUUAUUGUGCCUUGCCCACCAGUAGAUUCUAAACCACAAAAUCAUUCUGUGAAGUAGCUGACGUUUCGCACAUUCUUAUCCCUUACCAUCAAUAUUCUUCUCCUCAAGCUUAGAUCAUGGAAAUUUGAGUGAUAACACGAUCUAAACUUUAGGGGCAUAAAGUAACAUAGAAGCAACAUGGGAUGUUUUAAAAUCUAUUAUAAUUUGCUUAGGCCCCUGAAUAAAAUUAAAACUUGAAAUGAAAUAAAGUAGCAAAAUAAAGAUUGGAGGUCGCAUGCUUGAUAUUUGAUGCUGUCAAAAUUAAUUUGCAGUGCUGAAAUUGCUGCUCCAAUAAAUUUUUCAAUGGGAUUUCCAUAUUUACAACAAAUUUUCAGUAUUGAAACAGGAUUAAAAUCAUAAAGUGUCUUUUAAACAGCAGAGGCAACAAGAUCCUACAGAAAAAGAAGGCAAAAAGUAGUUACAAGCUACAGAAACGCAAAUAUUCUACUGGCCAACUCCCACUAAAUUCGAAGCGAUUCUAAAAUCUCAGCUUGUACUACUACAUCAUUCCUUCUAUGUAGCCCAACUGUACUUCACCCAGAAAUCACAUUUCUUCAUCAGAGAUAAUUUUACAUCAUUCCUUAUCAUUAGGCAUAAGGCUCCCAAUGUUCUUGGAGGAAUUAUGAUGAAUAUGAGGGUUUCAAAAAAGAAAAAAAAAUAUUAUGACAACCUCUAGGCGGAGGAAAUCAGUUUUCUAGGAAUUCGUUAGAUUGGUGAAGUUAUAGAACCUUAGCAAUUUGCUGUAGUUUGGAAUGUUUUUGCCUUUCAUUAUAGCAUUUGCAAAGGCUCAAGGAUAUAGAAGAACCUUGGCUACAAAUUCAGGGAAGAUUUCACUUAUAAUGAGAAAUAAUCACCAUUAUUCUAUACAAUGAGAAAACAGUUAUGGAAGAAAUAGAAAGAAUUACCCGAAACGAAGGAUUUGGAAGACAAUGAGACAAAAGUAUAAAGAAGAAGAAAUUGGAGAUAUAAUGGCUGCCAAUUUCUUUGAUGAACCCAUCAAAAACGGCUUGAAAAUUAAAGAAAUUGUCAAAUGCUGUAACGGAGGAAUUGAAACUGUAAAAGAUGCAAGUUAAUUCAUGGGGCUGGCCAUCUUGAUUGAUUGAACACCUACACGUGACAAGUGUGCGAUAAUCGUUAUAUCUUCAAUUUUAGGCAGUUUUUCAUUUCUUUUAUUUUAAUAGUAAAAAAAUACGCCAUUUUAGAUACAAAUGCCCCUGACUAGCCCUUUUGUAAGUUACAUUGUUUGGUGCGAUAGUCCCGCACGUGCUUGACAUUUGCCGAAUAUCUUAUGCGCAUUUUUUUUCCCCUCUAACUCAUUGUGUAUGCUCAUCUUUAUGUGCGUUAUUACCUAAACUUAUAUACCAAUCAAAAUAAAUCAUAAAGUAUCAAACGCUUUUAAAUGAUUUUUAAUAUUAAAGAACUCACUUUAAUGAUGUUUAAUUGGUAGUAGCCCUUUAUAGUCUUUAAACCUUUAGCAGUGCAAAGUCACAAGCUUUGUCCAGAAUCUAAUGGCGUAGAUUAUAGGCGAUGGGUGCCAUCACCUGGGCAACGACGUACAUCGCUUGGGCGACAAGCCAAUUUACUAGGCUCAUCGCAAACAGCCUUCGUCGCCUGGGCGAUGGCCAAAUCCAUCCAAUAAACUUUCAGCUCAUGUUUGAUAGCCUAAAAAAAGUAGUUAUGGUGACCAUCACACAUCACAUUUUACUGACAAGGUGUCUUAAUUUUCAUAGAAAAUUGUUCCUACUGAUUUUCCAAUCCUGGCCUAAUACUUGCAGAUUAUUAAACGAUUAUGGAAUGGCAGCAAACCGGCGCCGCGGAGGGGGGCCGGCCCGGGGUUGUUGUGCUGAUUUGGGAGGGGUAAUAAACCCUCUGAGGCAAUUUAGCAAACAUAUUAUGUGCCAUGAUUUUAGACCAGUAAUUUUGUCAAUAAUAGCUAAUUCGCAAUCCCAUUACAAAUCUAAUAAUCUAUUGCAUACACGCUCUUGAUGACUUGGAUUCUCAAAAAAUAAUCAUUUUACGCCGCUGAGGCGCAGAAAAAUCAAUUGUGUUGUCCCUUUAUACUUUUUCAUUUGUUUUGCCCACGUCCAAAUAAAACAGAUUCUGGUAAAUGUGAUAAGGAAAUGUUUGUUUCAAUUUCCAACCCAUAUCUCAUAAAGAAUUUCUCACUCAAAUAAAUAAAUAUUAUCCGGUAAUGGUAUGACAUUUAUUUUGAAGUAAACACCGGCACGCCAUUUUCUCAUUUUUUUCAUUUUUUGAGGACACCAUUUUCUCAAUUGAAGAAUAUAUUUUGGCCAAAAUUCACAAUGUUCUCCACAUGAUUUAAAGCACACAGAAUUCACACUUGUCUCCACAUGAUUUAAAAGCACAAGGAAUUCUCUUGACCUUAAUUACGAAUCUUUUUAUGUUUAUUGAAAUCCAAUAUUGUUGACUCAUUGGUGUAGCCAGAAAAUCAUAUUAAUAUAGUAGAAUUUAUAAAUAACCAAAGAAAAAAGUUCACGCUCUUACUUUAUUACUUUUAUAAUUUUAUUAGUACAUCUACUAACAUGUCUUCAUAAAAUAUAGUUUUAAGAGGAUAUUUUUAUGGUUGUAGAUAUUUUUAUUUUUCUUCUUAAUAAUAGAUUUAAUUUUCAUCUUUCUAAUGUUAAGUUGCACAUUUGGACUAAAUCAGAUUAAAUUUCAAAUUAGAUGACAGGCCUUAUUUUAAUAGAUUCAAUUGGAUUUUGGACAUCUAAUUAAACAACUGGAUUAAUAAAUUGCAAAUGAAUGAGAUUUAUAUGUGAUUUUAAAAUAAAAUUUGAACUUAAAUCUAUGUAUUCAAUUAAUCCAACAAGACAAAUUUAUAAUUUCUACCACCUAAAUAAAAUAUGUUAUCAGAAACUUUUGGACCAAGUAGGGGCAGUUCAUCACUUCGUCGGCCUGCUACUACUUAUACUCCUUUCUCAUUCAACUUUCACAUCUUUUAUAUUAUAUACAAACUAGAUUUGUCAUGCAAGUAUUUGACAGAAGAAAUCUCAUUGGAAAUCGGACAACUUCAAGAAAUUCAUUUAUUGAAUUUGUCACAUAAUUGCUUGUCGGUUUAUAAACCAAAAAGGUAUUCCAAAUUAAAAGUGGUAGAGAGCCUAGACUUUUCUUACAACAGAUUAAGUGGUAGAAUUCCUCCUUAAUAGACUGAGCUCAAUUUUUUGAUCUGUCUUCAAGACGUCAUACAACAACUUGUCCAACCUGAUACCAAACAAAGAGCAGUUUGCCACAUUCAAUGAAGGCAGUUAUGGAGGAAAUCUGCAUCUUUGUGGUCCAACAGUUAAUAAGAGUUGCAACAAUGCGGAGGAAAUACCAGCAAUAGAAUCCAAUCGAGGAGAAGAUGAAGAUGAAUGUGCAAUUGAUAUGGUGUCAUUCAGUUGGAGUUUCGGUUCAUCAUAUGUCACAUUCAUCAUGGGGUUUUUCGCGAUACUUUGGAUAAACUCAUACUGGCGCAGAAUGUGGAUCUAUUACAAUCAUGUAUUCACUAGGCCAUACGCGUGAUGUGCUUUUCUGCUAAAACUAGUUCACAAAUGUGAUUUCAUUAAAAUUAGUCUAUACACAUCUUUCCCUUGGCUUUUGUUGGCUCCAACUCCGGACUUUUAUUCAUAUCAUUACUUUAUGUAGUUUCCCCAAAAGGCUUGUGAUGAUUAAUGCAGUUUAUAAAUUAUUACUACUACAAUAAUGAUAUAAUAAAUAAUUUUUUUUAAGUUGUAAAAGUGAGAAAUACUAAAGAGAUCUUUAUUACAUCAUUAAUGUUCGAUCAAGAAUUUCCUCAUCCGAGCUUGCAGUCUGUGGAGGAGACUGUAUCAAUGUCGAAAUUCUCCGGACCGGCACUAUUUGCUGUUUCUCCAUUGAAUAGUGCGUCUUACUACAACAAGGUGAAACACAGCCCAGUGUUCUGAUUGGGCCCAAUGCGAAAAACAUAAAACCCAAAUUUUUGUUGACUUUGGGCCUGCUCAAAUACCAUGCCCAAUUGUGUCUAGUUGUAACAAAAGCGGCGAGAUGUUCAUGCCCAAACCCGCAAGAUUGUUUUAAUAUUUAAAAUUUAACAUGAUUCUAGAAUUUUUGUUAAUAAAAAAUAAACCACCAAGAUUCUAGUGAAUAACAAAUGUAUACAUAUACACGUGCUGUGUAGACCGGGCCAAUUCUUGUGGAAUUCUCCAACAACCAUCCUGAUUCUUGAAUUGCCGCGAAAAUUCCGCAAGCGAUGAACCCUCUCUUACGCACCACUCAUUCUCUAUCACAAUGAUCAAAAUAAAGACGAGGACGGAGACUAUUAAUCACUGAGAGUGAUUUUCUCAAUAUUUGUCAAUCACUACUAAGAUUCAUUGUCAAUCAAUAAUAUCAAUUGACACAAAGAUUGAUUGUCUUUUUUUUUUUUUCGAGAAUAUCAGUGCUUGAAUACAUUAUUUGAUAUAUAUAAUUCAAUGUAAACUCAAUCAUACUCUUAAAUUAUUUUUAUAAAUUCUCAAUAUCAGUCUUUGAUUUUAAUUCGAGUUUUGAUUCAAAUUAAUGCAAGGAUACAAAAGGACUCAAGAGCUUCAUAUAUCAAUUCUAUGUUAUUAACUUAUUAUUUCGGUGUACACCACAAAUUUAUGAGUAAUUUAUUAAAAUGUCUAAACAUAUAUGAAAAAUAGUUGAUUAUUGAUUUUCACAAAUUUCAAUAUAUCAAACAUCCUAUCGAGUUAUUAAUUCCAAAGCACAUUAUUUAAGAAUCAAUGCUAGAAUAAAUUAUUUGAUAAUUUCAAACCCAAAUUUACGCUUAAAUUCUUUAAAUUAUCUCAAUCAACUUUUUUUUUUCUUAGCUGACCAUCUAUAUCAGCUAUUGGAAAAAAAAAUAGAAUUGACGACUACUUGUAUGUUGGCCUAAUUUGAAAGUCAAUCAACAUUUAUUUUCCAUGUAAUGUUAAUGAAGCAUUUCCCUCAUUGGUCCAACAUUGCAACAUGUGGAAUUUCAGGCUUACAAUUCCUCAUUAGUCAUUACAGAUACCGAAAUUGAUUGUCAGACAAUAUUGUCAUUUCAAUAUAUGCCACAAUUUUAUGAGUAAUUUACUAAAAUCUUUAAAUAUAUAAAAUUUGCAUGUGUGUAAUAAACCUGUAUUUAUAUAUAAAAUUUGCAUAUUUAAAUUGCACCUCUCCAUGCAUCAUAUAAAAUGUCAUUUCAAUGUGAUCCACACUUUUAUGAGUUAAUAACUAAAUAUUGUCACUAAAUUUUUCCUAAUUGUUGCAUGCAUUAGAUUUUUUUACGAAAAAAAAAACAUGCUACAUUAAGUGUAAAACAAUUGAGGAAAAGAUUAGAGAACACAAUGAGAAAAGAAAUUUUUUAUACAACCUUUUCAUCAAUAAAAAUCAUAUUCAUACUAAUCAAUUCUUCAUUCCUCUUGGUAUUAACAGACUCUCACAUCCUACAAAAUCUAACCCUUAUCAUCCAACUAUCUUUAUCAUUAUUUAACUCAUGAAGAAAAGAGUACUCCAUGAAGCACACAAUACUAAAAAUUCAAAUAAGUCAAAAAUAAAAAUGCAAGAAUAUUUCUAAGGAGGAUGUUGGUUAAAUAAUAAAAAACCCAAACAUAACAAAUCUUAAAUACUUAAUGUUUAUAGACUUUGAAGAAGUCAAAAGACAUUAAACAAAAUGUUGCAUAAUUAAAUAUGGAAUUAUGACAUUAAAAUUAGGCCCUAAUGGCAUUGGUGAGUGAAGAUGAAGGAACCUUCCUUCCUAUAUUAAUUAGUUGAUGUAUUUUAAGUCACUAAAGUUUAGUUGUUGGCUUAAUAAAAUAAAUGAAUGUUUCAAGACUUAUAAUUAAUUAUUAUUAAUGGUUGCAUAUUAUUGAAUUUAAAUAGAAAGAGGAAGAGACAUGUAAUUUUUUGUAAUCUAAUAAUUAUUUUCUAUUUUGUAAUGUAAUUAUUUUUUAAUCUCAACCAAUAUAUUAGAUAAUAGAGAAUAUAAAAAGAUAAGAAAUAAUGAUGUCACAAAUCUUAAAUACUUAAUGUUUACAGAGUUUGAAGAAGCGAAAAUGCACUAAACAUAAGGUUGCAUAAUUAAAUAUAGGAUUAUGGUAUUAAAAUUAGGCUCUAAUGGCAUUGUUGAGGGAAGAUGAAAGAAACUUUCUUCCUAUAUUAAUUAAUUGAUGUAUUUUAAGCCACUAAAGUUUAAUUGUUGGCAUAAUAAAAUAAAUGAAUGUUUUAAGACUUAUAAUUAAUUAUUAUUAAUGGUUACAUAUUAUUGAAUUUAAAUAGAAAGAGGAAGAGACAUGUAAUCUUUUGUAAUCUAAUAUUUAUUUUCUAUUUUUAAUAUUUUGUAAUGUAAUUAUUUUUUAAUCUCAACCAAUAUAUUAGAUAAUAGAGAAUAUAAGAAUAUGAGAAAUAAUGAUGUCACAUCACCUCUUGUAGUCCCAACUCUCUCUCUCUCUCUCUCUCUCUCUCUCUCUCUCUCUCUCUAUAUAUAUAUAUAUAUAUAUAUAUAUAUAUAUAUACAUACAUAUUAUUUUCUAAAAAGUAUUUCUAAUUGUUUAACGUUUUAUUUAUGAGUAUUUUUAAGAGUUUAAAAAAUAUGGGAAACAGAAUCAAUUUUAUCAAAUAAAAAGAAUAUUGGUCAUUUUCUUCAUAAAGAAAGUGUUAAAAUACUUUUGGUAUUUAAGAAGUAACAAUUUUUUUUUUUGUUUCAUAAAAAAAGCAUUCAAAAUUAUAUUAAAUAAAAUUAAAGAUUAACAAAACUGACGUCUGAAUUUCGUGUAAAUUAUAAUAAGUUUAUCUCCAGCAUGAAUGACAUUAUAGCGUGGCUAGCAUCAUCAAAAUUCUGGUAACAUUCCAAGGUUGUCAAACUAAUCAUCUCAAAAUGUCAUUAUACUUGUAGCGUGCGGGCAUCAUCUUUACUUUCAGCAUCAAAAUUCUUUUAUUUAAUACACUUUUAUUUUAUACAAUUUUUAUCAUAUUAAAAUCCUUUGUAAUUUAAGCUCUCUCGGACUUUUAAAAAUGUUAUGCCACCCCUUCUUUAGCAGUAAUAGUAUAUGAUUAUGAUUUAAUUAUUUUAUUUUUUAAUUUAUCAAACACCAAUCACUUAAAUUUAACCUAAGAAAAAAUUAGAACAUCAGAUAAUUUUAAUUGAUUCUUAUUAAGUACUAGAAUUAACUGCUCCCAAUGAUAAUUUAUUAAGCAAACCAUAGUGAUCAUCUUACACUAAAGAACCAACCCAUCUUCAAAACACAAGAAUUUAGUACAAAUAAUUAUCCCAAUAAAGUUUAACGAAAAAGGAAAGAGAUAUUUUUAUUAUUUCUUUUCCUUUCUUUCAUUUCAAUUUCUUGCCUCCUGAGCUCUUCUAAAAGCCAACCAAACCACUUAUUUAAAAAAAAAAAAAAGGAACCAGACAAAGCGCAAGAAAAAAAAUUAAAAAAUUCGCAGUCUACACACAUCCCAGCACCGUAUGCGUCCAAUAAUUCAUCUCCAAUAAUUGCCCCUAUAUGACCACCGGUUUGUACUUGCAUAUAUGUGAAACAGGAUAAAAUCACAAUGUGUCAUUUAAUUAGCAGAGGUAACAAGAUCCUACAGAAAAGGGUUUACAGGAAAAGAAAGGAAAAAAAAUUGUUACAACAUACAGAAACCCAAAUAUUCUACUGGCUAACCCCCAUUAAAAUUCGAAACCAUUCUUAAAUCUCAGCUUAUACUACUUCAUCAUUCCUUCUGUGUACCCCCAACUGAAUUUCUGGCAGAAAUCACAUUUCUUCGUUAGCCUCAACUCAUGCAUCUUUUACUUUUAAUCAAACAUACUUUUUUAUCUGCUGGGCUUUUUAACAAAGAAUAAUUUUCCUUAGAUCUUUUCUAAUAGACAAGAAAGCACAAAGCACAAAUAUCUAGGAAUGUUUUUGCCCUUCAUCAUAGCACUUGCAAAGGCUCCAGGGUAUAGAAGAACCUUGGCUACAAAUUCCUGGGAAGACUUCACUUAUAAUCAACUGGAAGGAUGUCACCUCUACGGGCGUUGUACAUUUUCCACUUCUACGUGGUAUCCUGCAGAAACAAACAAUAAAACACGUGUUAUACAAGUAUUUUUUAAGUAUGAAAUACAUCAAAAGCAUUUAUGAUGCCAUUAAGUUUAGUCAAUACAAUCUCUCAAGGCAGGACAAGAGAUUUGAGAUUCAAACUCCACCUACGUAGGAAAGGAAUGUCAAAAAGAAAUGCGGUUGGGAUAGGUUAUUACGUUUUAUUCUUUUUAUUACUAGAAUUGAAUAAUGCUGCCUUUGACAGUAAAAUAAACGUCAAGUGAUAAUUGAAUUAUAAAAAAGUGAGGUAAAUGGUGAGAAAUAAUCACCAUUAUAAUUUAUAAUAUAAAAUGAGGAAAUAAUUAUGGAAGAAAUGGAAAGAAUUACCUGAAAAGAGGGAUUUGGAAGACAAUGAGACAAAAAUAUAAGGAAGAAGAAAUCGAAGAUAUAAUGCCUGCCCAUUUCUUUGACGAACCUGUAAAAUGUCGUGAUUGAGGGAAUUAAACCGUAUGACGUUUAUGAAAUACUAACUAGGCAACCCAAGAGGGGGGUGAAUUGGGAUUUUAAAAAUUAUCCUAGGCAAACCACACAACAAUUUAAUCUAAUGCCUUAAUAAAUUCGAAAACAAUAAAUUCAAUAAAAGCACAAUAAUAAAUGAGUAAGGGAAGAGAAAGCAAACCCAAGGAUUUUUACGUGGUUCGGCAAUCCCCGCCUACGUCCACGCCUCCAAGCACACCGGGCUUGAGGAUUUUACUAAGCUAGCCUCCCAAGGCUUCAAACGCUUACAAUUGACUUCCAAGGUGUCAAUGGACCUUUACAACAAGAGAUUAUCCCCAAUCUCUUAACCCAAGUGUAUCCCAACACUUACAAUCUUUUAACUUGAUUUUACAAAAAAGAUUACAAAUGAAUCUCUCUCACACAAUGUGUUUGAUCACAAGUGAAAGCUCAAUGUGUGAAUGAAUGAGAUGAAUACAAAGAUUUAAAGCUCAAUGAAAGUUGUAUUCUCAAUAUUUUGCUCAAUGAUGAUCGUUGGAAUUCUUCUUGUUUGAAUUGGAUUGAGAUUAUUUAUAGUUGGAGCUGAAAAACUAGCCGUUAUAGACUGUCUGCUAGAAAACGGUUCGCCGUUAACCAUUAACGGUUAACCGUUUAGGCCGGUCAAAGUUACCGUUGGGCCAAUUUUCAAAUAAACGGUUAGCCGUUUAUUCUUACCCUUUCGCCGUUAAUUUCCAGAGACCUGCAAAACAAAUUUGGUUUAACCGUUCUUAUUAAACGGUUCAAGGUUAACAAUCUGGAAAUAAUCGGUUAACCGUUUUCAGUAAACGGUUCACCGUUAGUUUCCAGAAUCAUCAUUUUAAUAAUACUUUACAGAACAUGCUUUCUGGAAAUUAUCGGUUAGCCGUUUUAAAUAAACGGUUAGCCGUUUGCUACAGUGAUUGCUACAGUGAAAAUAUUUUCUAAAUUUAUAAUUUAACCCCAAAACUUUAUAAAACUUUAUUACGGCCCAAAACGUUAUGAAACUUUGCACAUAGGUCCAAUUUCAGAAUUUCUAAAUAAUACUUUGUUAAUCCCAAAACUUUUUGAAAUUAUGGUAUAGCCCAAAAUGUUAUGAUACUUUUCAAAUAAGUCCUUUACCAAGAUUUCAAGCAAUACUUGUUUAUUUCAAAGUUUUCAAAAUUCUUUCAAUUAAACCAUAAACUUUGAAAAACAACCAAUUUCAUAAAAUCAUUUUUCCAUUAAAUAUGAAACAUUUAUAAUGUGAAAAUAAUGAUUUAUUUAAAAAGAAUAAAAACAAUCAAUUUCAUAAAAUUAUUUUUCCAUUAAAUAUAAAACAUUUAUAAUGUGAAAAUAAUGAUUUAUUUAAAAAGAAUAUUAAAUAAUUUGAGCUUAAAAGAUUAAUCAUUCUUAAUCUUAUUUGUUAUCAUCAAAAUCAAUAUUAUGAAAAUAUAUAUGUUAACAGUUUACUUUGGCGGCCCCCAGUCUUGUCAAUCAGAGAAUAUGUUUUGGCCGAAAUUCACAAUUCUUACCACGUGAUUUAAUUAAAGCACACAGAAUUCGUAAUUUUCUCCAGACAAUUUAAAUUAAACCCGCACUCUUUAUGGACUCCACUUUUAAGAAGGAUAUUGCCCACCGAGCAAACUAACCAAAACUCUUUUCCCUUCUGCGUUCAUUCUCCAACUCGUUGUCACUUUGUUUUGCUCUUCCUCUCUAUAUGAUUUUUAAGAACUAUUAAAUGUUUGUUUGUUUCUUAAAAAAAAUGUUUGUUUUUUUUUGUAUUAGAUGAUUAUAAAUAUUUAUUUAAUUUUAUAUUUUUUUAAAUUUUUUAUUAUUGUUUCAUUAUUUUUUAGUAAAUUUUUAAAAAUUAAAUAAAUUAUUUUUAUUUCUGUUAAUAAAAAUUUAAACUUUAAAUUUUUGAGGGAUGAGAUUUAUUUUUUUUAAAUAUUAAAAUACUUAAAAUAUCUUUUAUUUAUGUAAUAAUUUUAUUUUAUUUUUUUGUUAAAUAAUUUUAAAAAAAAUUAUUUAUUAAAAUAAUUUUAUAAUUUUUAAUAAAAACUCUUAUUAUCAAUUAAAUAACUAAAAUUAUUUUCAUAAAAACUUUUAUAAUAAAAAUCCUACCACACCGCAGAGUCUGCACUUACCUGCGCGUACUGUUUAAAACCCCUCACCGGCUCUGCUCUCGCCACCAAUAUUAAGAAAGAUACUUUGUUGUGGUGGCAUUUUGGUAAAAAAUAUGGGCCCCCAAAAUAAUCAUAAUAAUUAAGGAUUUAGCUAUGUGGCAACGGGUACACCAUACACUUUUUUUUUUUUUUUUUUUGUGCUGCCACAGUUAGAUCCAACACAAAAGUAGUAUUAAGAGCAAGAUGUGUUUGUUUGUUUAUUAACAAUGCAAUCCCUAAUAUUUGUCAAAAAUUUUAAAAAGUUAAAGUUUAUAAAAUUUUGUGCCAAUAUUUUUUUCCCAAAUUCUCUUAGCACAAUUAAUUGUGUUAUGGUAUCCACUUUUGCAGGUUAUAAUCAAGAGAUCAGACAUGAUAGAUACAUAAAAAAUAAUAUAAAAUAAAAAAAUUUUGAAUUUUUGUUAAAGCUCUCAUUUCUAAUAAUUUGUUAAAAUAUUCUUUUACCUAAGAAAACAAACUCAUUGACAUAAUAAAAAGAGUUUUACUGAUAAAAUAAUAAUUAUUCAAUUAUUAGAAGUGCUACAGUUAGAUUUUUUUAAGUUGAAAAUGUAGAGAAGCAUGGAGGAGAAGAGGAGAAGAAGACACAUAAUAAAACAUAAAAAUUUUCAAUUUAUUUAUACCUGAAUUCCAUUGUAUGAUGAAUAGAUUGUAGGUACAAAAAUAUAUUUAUGUGAUUUUCUUUUAUAUAAAAAGUUCAAUUCAUUAUUGCUUAUAUGAUAUAGAGCAAAUUAAUCUUAAGGUAAUGAGAAAGUAGCUUCAAUGAGAAUGCCAAGCUUCUCUUAUUGAUUGUAAUUGAUUGAUUACAUAUUUAAUUAAAAAAAUUCAAAAGGACGUAGAGGUGAGGGUUUUGAAGAAAGAGAAAAAAGAAAUUACUUCAAUAAUUUGUAAAUACAGAAGAGAUUAGGGGGUCAAAAAAUACAAAAAGUAGGGUAUGGUGGACCCAUUGUACCGUAGCUCAACUCAAGCCAAUAAAUUAAUUGUUUUAUCCUAUAAAUAAAAAUUAAUGUUGUGUAUUUGCCUAUAACUUGAGGAGGUAAUAAAAGUCUUUCGUUAUACUCUACUGUUAGUUUCUCGCCUUUUAUUCCUCUGAAAUCUUUCAACAAAAAUGGGUGGCGUCAUCUCAACCUUCUUAUCAGCGGACACAAUUCGUCCAAUUUUAUCUUACGUUGGUGGAGAAGCUAAGUAUAUAUGGGGUCUAAAAGAUAAUCUUGAUGACUUGCAGACUCAGAAGGAGAAGUUGAUUGAGAAAAAAGAAGAUAUGCUGAAUGAGGUUGAGCUUGCUGAACAACGACCCCGAACCAGACGGACGAGAUCGGUGCAACGCUGGUUUGAAAGAGUGGAUCGAAGGGUAACUGAAGUUGAGAGGCUGCAACAAGAAAGAGAUCAAGAGAUUGACAGAUUGUGCCUUGGAGGCUUCUGUUCCAAGAACUUGAUCUCAAGCUACAGCUUCGGGAAAAGAGUGGAGAAGAUGAAGAACGAAGUGAUCGAAUUGAAGAAAGGAGGAGAAGCAAUCAAUCCACUUUAUGAGGAGGUACCAGAAGGUGCAGCGGUUGCAAUAGCUGUUGACCGAACAAUUGUCGGUCAAGAAUCAAUACUAGACCGAGUUUGGAGAUGCAUCACCGAUCAAGAACAGAAUAAGGGAAUUAUUGGCUUAUAUGGUAUGGGGGGCGUCGGCAAAACUACUCUGUUAAAGCAAGUCAAUAACAAAUUCUGCAGUGAUGAACAGCAUCAUUUUGGUGUCGUUAUCUGGUCGGUUGUGUCGAGAGAGCCAAACUUGAAGCAGAUUCAAGUGGAUAUUGGAAAAAGGAUAGGCUUCUCAACAGAUUCAUGGCAGAGAAAAAGUUUUGAAGAAAGGGCUUCAGACAUCACCAACGCUUUAAAGCAUAAGAAGUUUGUAUUGUUAUUGGAUGAUAUAUGGGAGUCCAAAAUUGAUUUAACCGAAUUGGGCGUCCCUCUUCAAAGAUUAGAUUCUGGGUCCAGAAUAGUUUUCACAACUCGUUUUCGUGGUACUUGUGGUGAAAUGGGAGCUGACGAGCGGUUCGAAGUGUCCUGUUUGGGAGAUGACGAUGCCUGGAAAUUUUUUGAGGGGGUGGUUGGGAGAUACGUUCUCGACAAGCAUCCCGACAUUCCGGAGCUAGCCAAAGCUAUGGCAAGGCAGUGUCAUGGUUUGCCGCUAGCACUCAAAACAGUAGGUAAUGCCAUGGCGAGCAAAGAGUACCCUCAAGAAUGGAGUCACGCCAUUGAGAUCAUAAGCAGAUCAGCUUCUAAAUUCAAAGAUAUGGAAAAACAGGUGCUUUCGCGUUUGAAGUUCAGCUAUGAUAGUUUGCCCACUGACGAACUUCGUUCUUGUCUCUUGUACUGUUGUUUAUUUCCGGAAGACUCUGAAAUUCCAAAAACCGACUUGAUGGAGUAUUGGAAAAGUGAAGGAUUUGUGGAUUCUAGCAGCGGGUGGGGGGUUCUUGGUGCUCUCCUUCGUGCAUGCUUAUUGGAGGAAGCAGGCUUAGUGGACGAAGGAGGUAAUCGUGUAAAAAUGCACGAUAUGAUUCGUGACAUGGCAUUAUGGAUAGCAAAUGAAAUAGAGGAGGAGGAGGAGAACUUCUUGAUUCGUGCAGGAGUUGGAUUAACUGACGCCCCAAAGAUUGAAGAAUGGGAAGGGGUCAAAAGGAUAUCCUUGAUGGAGAACAAAAUUCAAAGUCUACCACAAAUUCCCACUUGUCCGCGUCUCCAGACUUUGCUUCUAAAUCGAAAUCAUAUUGCGAAGAUCACUGACAGUUUCUUUCAAUCUUUGCCUUCGCUUAGAGUUUUGAAUCUAAGUGGAAAUCAUUACCUAACUGAACUACCUGUAGGAAUUUCAAGUUUGGUUUCAUUACACCAUCUUGAUCUGUCUUAUACUCCCCUAACUGAACUUCCUGUAGGGAUUUCAAGUUUGGUUUCAUUACACCAUCUUGAUCUGUCUUCUACUGAAGUACGUGGGUUGCCGCAAGAGCUCAAGGCAUUGGUGAAUCUGAGAUAUUUGAACUUGGAGUAUACACGUAAAAUGUCUAGAAUUCCAGAGCAAUUGAUAUCAAGCUUUCCAAAGUUACAGGUGCUCAGGAUGCUGAGUUGCGGUUCUGAGAUAUUUCCAAUAGUGGAAGAAGGCAACGUUCUAUCCGAUGGUGCUGAACCAUUGAUUAAGGAAAUCCACUGUUUGGAACAAUUAAAUCUCAUCACCUUGUCCUUACGUGGUACGCGUGGUGUUGAAAACUUUUUGAAAUUCCCAAAGCUGCAGAAUAUCACUCAAGCUCUGUCCAUCGAACACUGCAACAGUCUACCGCUCAAUUUGUUGCAUCUAUCAAACAUGGAGCAUCUUGAGAAGCUACACAUCGAGGAAAGUAAUUUGGAAGACUGGAAUGUCGACUGCGCAGGCGAGGUACAAAAAAUGCGUAAACUUCACUUUGUUACAAUAUACGAAUGCUCAAAUGUGAAGGACUUUACGUGGCUUGUUUUUGUUCCAAAUCUCAAGUGGCUACGAAUAUGUUAUUGUGAUGACAUGGAAGAAAUAAUCAGUGUUGAAAAAUUGAGUGAAGUUUCGGAGAUGAUGGGAGAGCUUAACUUGUUCUCAGAACUCGAACUUCUGGUAAUAAGAAAUGCAAGUAAUUUGGAGCGCAUCUACCGCGUUCCCUUGCCCUUUCCACAGCUGAAGGUAAUUGACAUAUCGGAAUGCCCAAAGUUGAAGAAGCUCCCGCUCAAUUCCAGCAGCGCAAAGGGACGUAAAAUUGUCAUUUACGGGGAGAAAGAAUGGUGGGAAGAGCUACAAUGGGAGGAUCAAGCCACUCAAAAUGCUUUCUCUCCCUGUUUCCUACCUGAUGAAUAAUAAAGUGCAAUAAGGCGCAAAAGUGUGAAUAAAAUUUCUGCGUGUGCUUAAUGUUAGGCACUAUUAUUCAGGCUUAAAUAAUAACAAUAAAAUACUACACCGUGUCUGCUUUCUUUUACUUUUCUUGGUUCUGUUGUAAAAUUCAGUUCUAUUUGAAGGAAAUUAUUAACAUCAAAACUAAAUACUUCGUGAGCAUCUACUGACAACAUACUCCAGAUGACACCAUAACCAUAUCAUAUAAAGCAAGAAAUGUGAAAUAAAUACAAAAUGAAUCACAGGAGGAAAUCACCACACUCUGCGGUCUCUCCUGCUAAACCCUGCAGUUAGAAUGCCAUUUGUCGUGAGCACCUGAAUCCCCAAAGGACUCCCAGCUUCAAGUGGCUUUGACUUAGCUUGCUUUAGCUCCAUUGCACAUACUCACUCACAUGGAGGAAAUGAACAGAACAAGAAACCUCAUCAAGCCGAAUAUGAUAGAUAUGACAAGGCAUUACACUGUAGGAAGCUCCCGAUUUCUCUAAAAAACUUUGCAGGUUCUCCGCAAUCAAGGCGUGCUCCAUCUUUAACAGAUCACUUCUACCAUUAAGAGAAGGGAGAGAGUUCCUCUCGUGUGACAGUAAAUCCUUACUUAACACAGGAUUGGAGCCAACCAAGAAGGGAAGGCAAUUUCGUUAGAUUAAGAACCGAAUCACCAUCCAAAAUAGUAGCAUUUGAACCAGAACUCUUGUUAAAUUCUUGAAAUCUCCUGCUUUCAUCAGUCUGUAAGAGAAAUGAAGAUGAGAAUAAUAGCCAGAACCGGAUUAAAUUCAAUCUGGUCUUUUGAAGACUUCUAUAACAACUAAGAGAACCCAGUGUACCGCCUACAGAUACUGUCAGGCUUCUAUCAAAUAUCCCAAACACCAAAAACAAACCAAAUUAAGCUAACAAACCUGCAUGAAUAUCUAAAUUUCAAUGCACAUGAAACAAACUCCGUCUUCAAUCCACCAAAACUAGCAAAUUUCAAACUUUAUCCCUCAUCACUCUCUCUCUGUCAGCUGUAUGAGGCUACGAGAUCAUGUUAUAAUGUUCAUAUUGAUGCUGAAUGUUUUGCCAGCUUGUCUGAAUUCCAUAAGAGAAUGCAAUUUGCACAUUAUUGUGCCUUGCCCACCAUUAGAUUCUAAACCACAAAAUCAUUGUGUGAGUAGCUGACGUUUCGCACAUUCUUAUCCCUUAUCAUCAAUAUUCUUCUCCUCAAGCUUAGAUCAUGGAAAUUUGAGUGACAAACAUGAUAACAUGGUAACACCAUCUAAACUUUAGGGGCAUAAAGUAACAUAGAAGCAACAUGGGAUGUUUUAAAAUCUAUUAUAAUUUGCUUAGGCCCCUGAAUAAAAUUAAAACUUGAAAUGAAAUAAAGUAGCAAAAUAAAGAUUGGAGGUCGCAUGCUUGAUAUUUGAUGCUGUCAAAAUUAAUUUGCAGUGCUGAAAUUGCUGCUCCAAUAAAUUUUUCAAUGGGAUUUCUAUAUUUACAACAAAUUUUCAGUAUUGAAACAGGAUUAAAAUCAUAAAGUGUCUUUUAAACAGCAGAGGCAACAAGAUCCUACAGAAAAAGAAGGCAAAAAGUAGUUACAAGCUACAGAAACGCAAAUAUUCUACUGGCCCACUCCCACUAAAUUCGAAGCGAUUCUAAAAUCUCAGCUUGUACUACUACAUCAUUCCUUCUAUGUGGCCCAACUGUACUUCACCCAGAAAUCACAUUUCUUCAUCAGAGAUAAUUUUACUUCUAAUCAGAGAUUAUUUUUUAUAUGCAUGGCUUUACAGUAAUGAAUAAUUUUCCUUAAAUCUUUUCUAACAGACAAGAAAGCACAAAGCACAAAAAUUCAUAUAAACAACUUUUCUCGAAGCUUUUUCAUAAGAAAACCUGAACAUGAUUGCUUCUCUUAGAAGGCCCCCUAGCUUCCUGCAAGAACCUGGUGUUCCAAAAAAAAAUGAUUAUAAUUAGGCAUAAGGUCCUAAUGUUCUUGCAGGAAUUAUGAUGAAUAUCAGGGUUUCAAAAAAAAAAAAAUUAAGACAACGAUUACGGAUUUAAAGCACACAGAAUUUACACUUUUCUCCAUGUGAUUUAAAAGCACACAGAAUUCUCCUGACCUUAAUUGAAAUCCAAUAUUGUAGACUCAUUGUUGUAGCUAGAAAAUCAUAUUAAUAGAGUAAAAUUUAUAAAUAAUCAAAGAAAAGAGUUCACGCUCUUACUUCAUUACUUUUAUAAUCUUAUUAGUAUAUCAACUUACAUGUCUUCAGAAAAUACAGUUUUAAGGGGAUAUUUUUAUGGUUGUAGAUAUUUUUAUUUUUCUUCUUAAUAAUAGAUUUAAUUUUCAUAUUUCUAAUGUUAAGUUGCAGAUUUGGACUAAAUCAGAUUAAAUUUCAAAUUAGAUCACCGACCUUAUUUUAAUAGGUUCAAUUGGAUUUUGGACAUCUAAUUAAACAACUGGAAUAAUAAAUUGCAAAUGAAUGAGAUUUAUAUGUGAUUUUAAAAUAAAAUUUGAACUCAAAUCUAUGUAUUCAAUUAAUCCAACAGGACAAAUUUAUAAUUUCCACCAACUAAAUAAAAUAUGUUAUCAGAAACUUUUGGAUCAAGUCGGGGCAGUGUAUUACUUCGUGGGUCUGCUACUACUUAUAGUCCAUUCUCAUUUCAACUUUCACAUCUUUUAUAUUAUGUACAAAUUGGAUUAUAUUCUAAAAAAGUGUUUCUAAUUGUUUAACGUUUUAUUUCUGGGUAUAUUUAGAGAUUAAAAAAUAUGGGAAACAUAAUCAAUUUUAUCAAAUAAAAAGGAGUAUUGUUCAUUUUUUCAUAAACAAUGUGUUAAAAUACUUUUGGUUUUUAAGAAGUAACAAUUUUUAUUUUCAUAAAAUAGCAUUCAAAAUUAUAUUAAAUAAAAUUAAAGAUUAACAAAACUGACAUCUGAAUUUCGUGUAAAUUAUAAUAAGUUUGUCUCCAGCAUGAGUAACAUUAAAGCUUGGCUAGCAUCAUCAUAUUUUAUCUCCAGCAUCAAAAUUCUGAUAACAUCAACAUCAUAAUUCCAAGGUUGUCAAACUAAUCAUCUCAAAAUGUCAUUAUACUUAUAGCGUGCUGGCAUUAUCUUUACUUUCUGCAUCAAAAUUCUUUUAUUUAAUACACUUUUAUUUCAUACAAUUUUUUAUCAAAUUAAGAUCCUUUGUGAUCUAAACUCUCUUGAACUUUUAAAAAUCUUAUGCCACCUCUUCUUUAGUAAUAGUAAUAGUAAUAAUAUGAUUAUGAUUUAAUUAUUUUAUUUUUUAAUUUAUCAAACACCAAUCACUUAAAUUUAACUCAAGAAAAAAUUAGAACAUCAAAGAAUUUUAAUUGCUUCUUAUUAAGUACUAGAAUUAACUUCUCCCAAUGAUAAUUUAUUAAGCAGACCAUAAUGAUCAUCUUACGCUAAAGAACCAACCCAUCUUCAAAACACAAGAAUUUAGUACAAAUAAUUAUCCCAAUAAAGUUUAACGAAAAAGCAAAGAGAUAUUUUUAUUAUUUCUUUUACUUUCCUAGUGGCUCUGCUACUACCUAUAGGCUAUAGUCCAUUCUUAUUCAACAUUCAGAUCUUUUAUAUUAUAUGCAAAUUAAAAUAUAUUCUAAAAAGUGUAUCCAACUGGUUAACAUAUUAUUUCUAGAUAAUAAUCAAUUUUAUCAAAUAAAAAAGAGUUUUUGGUCAUUCAUUUGGCUCCGUUGCCACUUGUACGUUACAAAAGCUUUUGUCUAUGCUGACUCAGUUACUGUAAAAUGUCGUUCAGCCCCUUAUACUCUAUGUUAUUUAUAAUUUAUUUAUAAGAAUUAUGAAAAUUUCUACUUACCUACACUAUCAAAAUUCAAUUUAUCUCCUCACAAUCUUUUUCAUUUACUAUUUUUUUCUAAGUAUUAAAAGAGUUCUAUUUACAACCACGACAUAUUAAUCAUCAUAACACACAAAUAUUAAUAAAAAGAUAAAAAUAUCCUUAAAUUAAUACUAAAAAUGCUUUCCUCUCUUCUUUAUAAUAUCAUAUUAUAAUAAUUAAUACUUUCAUGAUAAAAGAAUUAAAAAAAUAAAAAUAAAUUCCCUUUGAAUCCAUCCCUCUCUAAUAUCAUUUUCUCUUCAUUAGGAACAUUUAUCGACAAUUGAAGCCACCAUCAGACUCAUCACACAGAGAGAGUGAGAGAGGGGAAGAAGAAACAGAGAAAAAAUAUAUGAGACAUUUACAAUUUUAUAGUGUGUUUAUUCAACGGGAUUUAUAUAUAGUUGCUAAGGGGUUUCAUCAGACACAAGGAGUUGAUUACACUGAAACUUUUAGUCUAGUAGUUAAGGCUUCAACAGUCAAAGUUAUUCUUAGCCUAACAGUACUUAACAAGUGAAUAAGCAGACAAGUGGAUGUUAAUAAUGUCUUCCCCUAGCAGUACUUAACAAAUGAAUAAUCAGACAAGUGGAUGUUAACAAUGCCUUCCUUAAUGGCAUUUCAGUUGAAGAAGUUUACAUGGCACAACCUGAGGGGUUUGUGGAUCCUACUAAACCCCAACACAUCUGCAAAUUAAAAAGGACUAUAUAUGGCUUGAAGCAAGCUCCCAGGCUUGGUUUGACAAAUUCAAAGCUGCAAUGAUUACUCAAUGGCAUUUUCAACACUCAAAAUCAGAUAAGUCUCUCUUCUAUAAAUGGAUCAAUGGUCAUGUAAUUCUAGUUCUGGUUUAUGUUGAUGAUAUCAUACUCACUGGUUCAAAUUCUUACUUAAUUCAGCCAGUCAUUCAAGACAUGCAUCACACCUUUGCUUUAAAAGACUUGGGAGCUCUUAACUAUUCUCUAAGAAUUGAAGUGGUUAAAUUAGCAAAUGGCAUUUAUCUGUCUCAAGCAAAAUAUAUUGCUAAUAUAUUGGCAAACAUGAUAUGGUUCACUGCAGUCCAUUACAUAUUCCUAUGUCUACCAGUCACUACCUCACAAAAGAUUCAAGUGACAUUAUUGCAAAUGUGUCUCAGUACAGAAGUAUCUUAGGUGCAUUGCAAUAUGUUACUCUUACAAGGCUUGACAUAACAUAUAUAGUUAAUAAACUAAGUUAGUUUUUAUUUAGUCCUCGAACACAACAUUGGGAGGCUCGCAAAAGGUUGCUAAGGUACUUAAAAAGAAUUUUACAUCUUCGAUUGCAUUAUUACACAAAUGGAGCUAUGCAGAUACAUUAUUUCAUAGAUUCUAAUUGGGCAUGUGAUAGGGAUGACAGGAAAUCACUUGCUAGUUUUGCAGUCUAUCUAGGUCCCAAUUUAGUCUCAUGGUCAUCCAAGAAACAAGCAGUGGUAUCAAGGUCAAGUAUAGAAGCAGAAUAUAGAGCAUUAGCUCAUGCUACUUCAGAGGUCAUGUGGAUACAAUCUCUUCUUAGUGAGUUGCAAAUUAAACUUAGCACCACUCCCAUAAUAUGGUGUGAUAAUCAAGAAGCUAUUGCCUUAGCAUACAAUCCAUUUUAUUAUGCCAAAACCAAACAUGUUGAGCUAGAUAUACACUUCAUUCGAGACAAAGUUGUAGCUAAGAGCAUUGAGGUUAGUUAUGUGCCCAGUGAAGGUCAACCAACUGAUGUAUUAACCAAAGCUCUCACUUUUAAGCAGUUUCAUUGCUUGUGAAGCAAGCUGAAUGUCUAUCCUGGACAUUUUAGCUUGAGGAGGGAUGUUAGUGAUAUUGAAUUUCAAGCAAAGCAGAGCACAAAAUCAUUAUAUGACUGACCACAACUGAUUCACUCAUUAAGCUAACUUGGCAAGUUAGUUAUACAGCUCACCUCACAUGUAUCAAAUUUCGCGUGUGUAUAACAGAUUGUAUGAAUCAUUUAGCUUGCUAUAUAAAUAUGUAAUGUGUACUCAGUUUUCAAUUAGUUAAUUACAAAGGAAUCUUAUAUUUGCUUCUAUACAAAUUCUCUUUACUUUUCUUUCAUUUUCUUGCCAAACAACACUUUCUUUAGAAUUCUUUCAUGAAAGGCAAUGAGACAAAAAUGUAAAGAAGAAGAAAUUGAAGAUAGGGUAGGGCUAUUGGCUCUCUAAAAUUUAUUUUGGACAUUGAUGUGAUCUUUAAAAAAAAAUUACAUAAUUUUAUUCUUAGGUUAUGUUUAUCUCUUUGAGUUGUUAUCAUAGUUCAUUUUGAUUAAAUAAAAGUAGUUGUUGUAUUAACAUAAUUCUAAUGAACAUAGGUUUUAUUGUGCUUUUAAUCUUUAGGUCCAACUUCUGUAAGAUAGUAUUUAAACCAGCAUCAAUGUCAAUAAUAGCAGGCUGAAAUGUUUCUUUUGGAGACUGAAUAGUUGUAUUGGGAGAUAUGUCCCUCAAAGUACCAAAAACAUAUUUAUUAAAGCUUAGUUUCCUUGAAUUUGCCCAUUUAUCACUUGUUCUUUUUAUUUUGUUUGAUUUCCUGUUGUAAUAAUUUGUGUCUGUAAGACUAUAACAGACACUCACAUUUUAAUAGUUCUUUAUAUCACUAAAUUAACCUUAAUGUAAAAUUAACCGUAAUGUAAUUUACUAUUAAGGACAAUUUAAUAAAAUAUAGUUCAAUAAAUUUUUAUCCAACAUCUUAUUUUAUCUACAAUAAACUAGAUAAACAAUGAAGAAAUGAAUAAAAGUUCACGUGAAAACGAUGUCUAUACUUAUGGGCUAAACCUUUUUUUUUCAGUUUUUUUGUUAAUAGAAUUGUUAGGAAAACAUCAUGUAACACGUUCCAUCUUUUGUAACAAAAGGAAUUAAAAACAGAGGUGGAGGAAGAACAAUAAAUUGCACCACUACAACAUAUGAAAAACGAAAGAAAUCAAAGGAUAAAAUCUGUUUCAAAUUUGUUUUCUGAUCUUCACUCAAUCUAAUCUGCAUGCUUUCAUGGAUUUGAAAAACAAAAUUGAAUUGCGACAUUAAAGAGAAGAACAAACAUAUGUCAAACCAUAUUAUGAAAGCAAAAUAAAAGUUGAUAAAAAAUGAAAAAAAGUUCAAACAUUUUGUUUGUGAUGAUGAAUAUUUUAUUAGAUGUAAAGAGGAAAUAAGAUAAUUAAAGAAAUGGGUAAUGAGAACAAUAAAGGAAGUCGAAAAAUAUUUCAAAUACAAAUUAAUAUUUUGAAAUUAUUAAUUGAGUGUUCAAAAUAAAUUUUAGAAUGUAAGAAGUGCAUCGCUGCCCAUUUCUUUGAUGAACCCAGUAGAAACAGCUUUAAAAUUAUAGAAACUGUAAAACGCUGUAAAAGUGAAAACUUUAAAAAGCUUGCUCUAGUAUUUAAACCUUUAAUAGUGCAAAGUCACAAGUCUUGCAGCUAGUUGAUAUAUCCCCAAGCUAAAAACAUGUGUUGUAUACUCAUUUUUUAUAGUGAUACUAGAACUAUUAUUAUCUUAUGUCUAUGUACGUAUGUUUACAAUUUAUUUCAUAAAUUUACUGAGACAAGUGCCGAAAUUUAUGGCGAAGUACGUCCAAUCUAUUGUCACUAAGGCCCUAUUUGGUAUUUAGAUAAUGUAGUUUUUGUGAAAAAAAAUAAUGUAAUUAAGAAAUAAAAAUUAAUAAUAUAUAGUAAUAUGACUUGUAAAUAAUAAUUUGAAAAAAAUAAUAAAGAAUUAUAAGUUUUUUCAAAAUAAAAGUGGUGGAUCAAAUUAAUUUAGCUUUCAAGUCAUAGCAAGUAGUGUUUAUCAAAUAUAAAAAGUUAUAAUUAUCCAAUCUCAAUCAGAACCUGAGCAUUUUUAGCAAAAACAAUACUUUUAUUCUAUAUUUUACAAAUAUCUUCACCAUUAUUCAGAGCACCAACCCUUAACUUUUUUCGAUUAUGUUUGGUAUAACUUUUUAAGCAGAACUUUUACUAAAAAAAAUAAUUGUUUGAUUGUCAAUGAGAUUUUUUAUUAAAAUUUCUAGAAUUACUUUAAUAGGCAAAUUUCUUAAAGUUAUGUUAUGAAAUGAAUAAAAUAAAAUUGUGAAAUAUAUAAAGCAUAUUUUAGACAAUAUAAUAUUUUUAAAAAAUUUUAACCUCUACUCCACAAAAUUUAAAAUUUAAACUUUUAUUAGUACAAAUAAAAUAAUUUAUUUAAUUUUUUAAAAAUUUUACUCAAAUUAUAAUUAAAUAAUAUUAAGUCUUAAAAAAAAGUUAUAAGAUUAAAUAAAUAUAUUUGACUGAACAUACACUAACUUGAACUCUUGAAAAAUAAAUAUUUUGCGCCACAUAAGUAGGGUCCAAUUAUGUUGCAACUGAUGUAUUAUACCAGAGUUCCUCUUUUUUUCCCCGUAUUAUUGGAUAAUUGAUGCAAAUUAAGCAAAGUUGUUGGGUGCUUCUCGUUCAAUCUAGCAGUUGAAAUUAAUUAUUGGAUAAUUGAUGCAGCGACUAGCAACCGUUGCAGCCGGUUGUAUAUUAAUUUAAUAGCAGUUCAGCGAGCGUGGGUUUCGAAAAUUUGUUAGUGCUGAUUAGAGUCUCACUGAUUUCAUCUGAAAAUUGAUCUCGAGACAUCAAUUAAGACAUAAAAUUAGAAUUAGGGGAUCGCAGUUUUUUUGGGAAUUAAAAUUUCCCUAUGAUUCAUACAUGAAUAUGGCCUCUCACUUGUAGGGAAUUGACGGUGAAAUUAUAAUCGUCACAGCAGAAUGCAAUCAAAAGUUACGGUGCUAAAAGUUUAGGCAUAUAUCAAAUUAGAGUGAAUCUCGCAUCACUUUGAUUUGGUCUUAUGCCGAUCGAAUCACCUGAUGCAGUAUGUAAUUCCUUAUUAAAACUUGCAAUUUUUUAUUUUGAAAAGAUUUAAAAUUUGUAAUUUCAUUACAGAAAUGAGGCGGGGGCUCACAAACAGAAAGCUAGCGAUUUAAAGAGCCACAGUCAAGCUUUAGAAGCCGAUGGUAACAUAGUUAGAACAAUAGAAUCUGAUAGCGUUAGGGAUUCAUAAGCUAUUUGUAAGUAUUUGUACUCCCUGACUAAAUAAUUUGGGAAUAUAAGGAUGCAAUAAGAGUUGAGUGGUCUUUAUUCCAAUAGCAUUAUUUUUUUCGAGCUUCAUCCGUGCUCUAUUCAAUCUUUAUGUGCCGCUUGUGUUAUGUUCCUGCAUAUCUAAUUACCUUUAGAUGCUAGUUGAUAUUUGACAAUUUUGCAGGUUAAGGAUAUUAGAUGGGAUGCAGAGCUUGGCAGUCAGAACAUGGAAUCACGGUUGGUUGAAUACUUUGUAGAUGAGUUUAAUAAACAAGUUGGUAAUUGGGUGAAGUGAGGAAGUCUCCCAAGGCCAUGGCUGAACUGAAGAAGCAAGUUAAAUAUACAAGAGCAAUUCUUUGUGCGAACACAAUGGAACCAAUAUCAGUUAUAUCUUUCCACGAUGAUAGGGACUUCAGAUAAGUGGAGUUAAAGUUCAGAUUUUACUGUUUGAGGUGCGUUUGAAGUUUAUUAACAAAAUUAAUGUGUUCUUUAAAUGAGUGAGGAACUGUAGAACAUGACAAGUAGAGUUUAUUGUGUGAGGGAUGCAUAUUCUCUUACAAGUGCUUUGUUCUUUAAUAUAGCACUAUAAGACAUCUUCUGAUGAAAAAUAGAGUCAAUAAAAUUACUCCAGACUGACUGGGCCGUUACGUUUUGGAUUCCAAUUCUUGCAUGAGAUUUCUUUUUCCUUUUUUUCUUUUUUCAAAUUUACUAGUGGUACUUUCAUUUGGUAAACUAUUCUAUACAUACAUAUAUAUAUAUAUAUAUAUAUAUAUAUAUAUACUCUAAUCAAUUAUAUUGGCUUAUUCUCCUUUUAUGUUGAUUCACGCUGCUGGUAUAGAUAAAAUUUAUUUAUUAGUUUUGGUGAAAAAUUUGUUUUGUUGCACACGGAUAGUAAACCCAAAUACAUUCAUAUGUGUUAGAGCAGCUCAUUAUGCUGAACAGAAGAAGGUGAAGACUAAGAUGAAGAAAAUACAGAGCAAGUUACAGGGCAAGUGUGUCAGCAGUGCCAGCUCAGCUAACAGCUCAGCAGAUUAGUUAAAGAUGGUUGUAAGCAUGAUGUGCAUUGUACUGAAGUUAGUUAGCUUUGAUUACAGUUAGUCUUUGGAUUAGUUAAAUGAAGUUACCGUGAUUGCAUUGUAUAUAAACAUGUGAUGCUUUGUAAAAAGGUUAAGCAAAAUAAAAAUCAAAGUUUGUUAAGGAAAUAUCUCCAGAAUUAUCAAUUCAUUUUCUUAGUAACCAAACAACUUUAUUUUCAUUUUCUUUCAUGGUAUCAGAGCCACUCUAAUGGCUAGUUCCAGUAGCACAACAUCAAAUCCAAAUCAAAUGAAUAUAAAUCAAUCAUCACAUAUCUCCUUUUCGUUCAGCACUCCAGUCAAAUUGGAUCGAUCAAAUUUCAUGAUUUGGCGAAAGCAAGUUCUUACUACAAUAAGAGGAAAUCGUCUUGAAGAUUUUAUUUCUGGAAAUCAAAUCAUACCAGAACAAUACAUUUCUAAUACAGUAGCUGAUGGAUCAGUACAGAGAAUCACGAAUCCAGCUUACAUCAACUGGCGAGCUCAGGAUCAAACUUUGCUUGGCUGGAUUUUGUCAUCCAUAAGUGAAGGUAUCUUAAAUACUGUUCUUAAUUGCGAAAAUUCAUUUGAAGCAUGGAGAUCAAUUGAAAAACAAUUUGGAGUACAAUCUGAGGCUAGAGUUAUGCAAUUGAGGUAUGAAAUGAAUGUCCUUAGAAAAGAGAAUAUGUCUAUUGAGGAGUACUGUUUAAAAGUAAAAGUUGUUGCUGAUAAGCUUGCUUGUGCUGGUAGCCCUGUGUCUGAGAAAGAUCUGCUAAUGCAAAUUUUGAAUGGCCUAGGACCUGGAUUUCUAGAUCUUGCUUCAAUAAUUACUGCUAAUAGAAUGUCGUAUGAUGAUGCUUAUGCAUUACUCUUAACACAUGAGGCAAGAAUGGAACAAAAUCAUAAUACUAAAGAUCUUUUUAGUGCAAACUAUGGGAUGAUGAAUGCUAACUACUCUCAGUUUAGAGGAAAUAAUAAGAGAGGUGGUUAUAGUGGAUAUCAAGGGCAAUUUAAUGCUGGAAAUAGGAAUCAAAAUGGAGGAAGAGGAAUGUUUUUCAAUUCAUUCUCAAGAGGUUUUCCAGCUGGUGGAUAUACUGGUAAUGCUGGUGGCAGAGGACAGCAAAUGAAUGCAUAUGCUUAUAAACCUGUGCUUAACAACAGGCAUAAUUUCAAUAUGAAUCAUGGCUCAACUUCAAUGUCCAAUGGAAAUGGAUCUGAUGAUAAUGUGCUUAUCUGUCAAAUCUGUCAUAAAGCUGGACAUGCAGCUGAUGUUUGUUGGCACAGACACUUUGAUGGCUAUGCUCCUCAACCCAGACAAUUUGGAAGGGGCAGAGGGCAUAAGUCUGCUUAUAUGGCUAACUUUGAUCCACAAAUUGGCUUUACUUCACAAUUUGAAGAUUCAUUUGCUACAGAAUAUCCUGGUUAUCAUGGGUACCAUCCACCUGAUAUGAAUGCAUCAGUUGCAUCAGUAAGUCAUCACUCAUCUGAUAUGCAUUCUGUACCUGGAGCAGCUUAUAUUGCAAAUUUUGAAGGACCAGCUGAUGAAGGGUGGUAUCUUGAUAGUGGAGCUACGCAUCACAUCACUAACAACAUGGCCAAUAUGCAUAUCAGAGAUCAAUUCACUGGAGCAGAUCAGCUCAUUAUUGGAAAUGGACAAGGUUUGCCCAUAACUCAUGUUGGUGAUGCAUCCUUUCUCUUUAAAAGUUCCAAUUCUACACACAAACACUCACCUAUAGUACUUAAAGAUAUUCUGUUGGUGCCUUCCAUUACCAAAAAUUUGUUAAGUAUCUCGAAGCUUACCACUGAUAACAACUUGUCUGUUGAAUUUCUUGGAAAUGUUUGUUUUGUGAAGGAUUCUCUGAGGGGACAGGUACUUCUGCAGGGUCUUGCUGAGAAAGGGUUAUACAGGCUGUUAUUGAAAUCAUCAUCAUCCUCUCAGUUAUCAUCAUCUUUUCUUUCUCACAUGUGUUCCAAUAAACCUUUGUCUAUGCUUUCUUGUUGUUGUUUCAAUUCUGUUCCUUCUGGAGUUGUUACAGAAUCUCAGAAAUCAUGUAAUCAAACUGAUGAUUCAUCUUGUAAAACUUCAGUUAAUAAAGCUAUUUUGCUUCAUAGAAAGUUUGGUCAUCCCAAUCAUCAAAUAUUAACUCAUAUACUCAAAACAGCAAAAUCUAUUCAUUUACCUGCAUAUCAAAAGCAACAAAUGCAUCAGUACAUCUGUGAGGCCUGUCAAAUGGGCAAAACACAUAAACUUCAUUUUCCAAUUACUGAAACCAAAACCUCCAAAACUCUAGAACUUAUACACACUGAUUUAUGGGGUCCUUCUCCCAUUAUUUCUAGAGAUGGUUAUCAGUAUUAUAUAAGUUUUGUAGAUGACUACAGCAGGUAUACAUGGAUUUAUCCUUUGAAGCUAAAGUCUGAGGCAUUAGAAGUCUUUAAGCUCUUUAAACUGCAGGUUGAAAAUCAGUUUAGCACAACCAUUAAGAUGAUGCAAUCUGAUUGGGGGGGAGAGUAUAGACCAUUCACUGAGUUUUUAAGCCAAUUUGGUAUCAUCUUUAGACAUCCUUGUCCUUACACUCAUCAUCAAAAUGGGUUAGUUGAAAGGAAGCAUAGACAUAUUGUUGAAUUGGGUCUGACUCUCUUAGCUCAAGCUCAACUUCCCUUUAAGUUCUGGUGGGAUGCAUUUCAUACUGCUGUAUAUCACAUCAACAGACUUCCAUCUCCUGUUUUGCACCUUUUAACCCCAUAUGAAAAGACAUUCAAACACAAACCUGAUUAUGAUUUUCUCAGAUGUUUUGGGUGUUCUUGUUAUCCUUACUUGAGAGAUUACAAUAAACAUAAAUUUGCCUACCAUUCUAGUAAGUGCAUAUUCAUUGGUUACAGUCCUUCACAUAAGGGCUACAAAUGUUUACACCCUUCAGGUCGAGUCUAUGUGGCAAGACAUGUUACCUUUGAUGAAUCAGUUUUUCCUUAUGCCACUGAGUUUGUUUUUCAUAGUCAUGCUAAAACUGAUUCUCAAAUUUCUCAUUCCCAUACACCACAGCAAAUCCAUCAUAUCUCUUCUUUGCCUGUCAAUAACAGCACUGGUAAUCUGAACUCUGUAAGAUCUGGAAGCAGCAGUUCAAGUCACUCAGAUCAUCUAGAACAGACAGCAACUGAUCAGAAUUCACAACAAGCUACCAUAAAUGACAGGUCACCUUUUCAUACAUGUCCAACAAUUGUUGAAUCUAUACAAAAUAUUCCAGAACCUCCACAUCACUCUUUGCCUAUACAAAGUCACCAUCCUAGCAACACUUCUUUCUAUCCAUAUACACAACCAAAUACACAUCAGAUGAUAACCAGAAGUAAAGCAGGGAUUUUCAAACCCAAAAUUUAUACUGCUGUGCUUACUCACAAGGAACCAGAUACUGUGCAAGAAGCAUUAAAUGAUUCAAAGUGGCUACAAGCUAUGAGGGAGGAAUAUGAUGCCUUGAUUAAGAAUAAUACAUGGACAUUGGUUCCAAGACAAGCUGAUCAGCAUGUGGUUGGAAAUAAAUGGGUGUAUAGAAUCAAAUAUAAUACAGAUGGAAGUGUAGCUACGUAUAAAGCUAGACUUGUUGCAAAGGGUUUUCAGCAAGUGGCAGGGAUUAACUAUUUUGAGACAUUUAGCCCAGUUGUGAAGUCAGCUACAGUUAGAGUAAUACUUAGCUUGGCAGUGAUGAAUCAGUGGAGAAUAAGGCAAGUGGACGUCAAUAAUGCCUUUUUGAAUGGAGAGCUAACAGAAGAAGUUUUCAUGUCUCAACCUGAUGGCUUUAUUGAUGCUCAGAGAUCUGAUUUUGUAUGCAAAUUACACAAGUCUCUGUAUGGGCUCAAGCAAGCUCCUAGAGCCUGGUAUGACAAGCUUAAAGGAUGCUUAAUAAGCUGGGGUUUCACUACUACUAGUUCUGACACCUCAUUGUUUGUUAGGAAGAUCAAGACAUCUAUGAUCAUAGUUCUUAUAUAUGUUGAUGACAUACUGAUCACAGGUCCAAAUACUGAGGAGCUGGAAGGUUUCAUAACUGAAUUCAGCAAAACUUUUGCUCUAAAGGAUCUGGGAGUGUUAUCUUAUUUCCUUGGAAUUGAGGUAUUAUAUGAUGCAGAUUGUAUGUACUUGUCACAGAGAAAGUAUAUCAGAGAUUUGUUAUCGAAGGUAGAAAUGACUGAAUGUAAGGGCAUUGAUACACCCAUGAGUACUGGCUCUAAACUGCAAAAGAUAGUUCAGGGGGAACUUGGAUACUAUCUUGAAGAUCCAACUCAUUAUAGGAGCAUAGUUGGAGGAAUGCAGUACCUGAUACUUACCAGACCUGAGAUUGCGUUUGCUGUAAACAAGCUCAGUCAGUAUGUAGCUGCACCAACACUACAACAUCUAAUGGCAUGCAAGAGAGUUCUAAGAUAUCUAAAGGCAACUCAAGAUUAUGGUUUAAAAUUUUUCAGAGAAGGAAGCUUAACACUCACUAGUUUUACUGAUGCAGAUUGGGCAUGUGACUUAGAUGAUAGGAAAUCAGUUGGUGCUUAUUGCAUUUAUUUAGGCAAUAAUUUGAUAUCCUGGUCUUCUAAGAAACAAUCAGUGAUAACCAGAUCAAGUGCCGAGAGUGAGUAUAGAGCUUUGGCAUCAGUGAGUGCAGAGCUGACAUGGUUACAAUCCUUAUUUUCUGAGUUGGGAUUAAGUUGCAUAGAAAAGCCAAUCAUAUGGUGUGACAACAUUAGUGCCACUGAACUAGCAAAGAAUCCUGUGUAUCAUUCAAGAACAAAGCAUAUCGAAAUUGAUAUGCACUUCAUUAGGAAUAAGGUUCUUGCUGGUGAGUUGAUUAUUCACUAUGUACCAAGUGAAGAACAGAUUGCAGACAUAAUGACCAAGCCUCUUUCAUUUGUAAGGUUUAACUACUUGAGGUCCAAACUCAAUGUCCAUCUUUGUCCUCUGAGUUUGAGGGGGGCUGUUAGAGCAACUCAUUAUGCUGAACAGAAGAAGGUGAAGACUAAGAUGAAGAAAAUACAGAGCAAGUUACAAGGCAAGUGUGUCAGCAGUGCCAGCUCAGCUAACAGCUCAGCAGAUUAGUUAAAGAUGGUUGUAAGCAUGAUGUGCAUUGUACUGAAGUUAGUUAGCUUUGAUUACAGUUAGUCUUUGGAUUAGUUAAAUGAAGUUACCGUGAUUGCAUACAGGUGAUGCUUUGUAAAAAGGUUAAGCAAAAUAAAAAUCAAAGUUUGUUAAGGAAGUAUCUCCAGAAUUAUCAAUUCAUUUUCUUAGUAACCAAACAACUUUAUUUUCAUUUUCUUUCAAUAUGGAUAUCUGGGGUUUGUUUUGUCUUUUAGGAGCAGCAUUACCUGUCGAAAGUUCAAAGAGCUCACUGAACUUAAGCAUUCGGGGUUGAAAAUGGACGAGAUAUAUGCAGUGGAGUUCAUUGGAGGAGCUACUAUAGUGCCAAAGUUGCAGGUUUGCAAUAUCCGCUUUGUUUUGGUAGUUAGCCCGAGUAUUAAAUUCUUGAGGCGUGUAAGGUAGUGGACUUUAGCCAAUUCAAGAGUAGAAUAUAAUAUGUUUACUUGUUUUGAUCUUAAUCUUUAAUCACUUACCCUGAAUAAGAAAUAAUUUUUUAUAUUUGCUCUGCUAUGAUGUUAUUCGGUGUUAAUAGCUUCGUUUUAUUGCUCUUUUCCGCACAAAUUCUUGAUCUCAAAAGAACUUUUAUUUUGAAUAUUCUGCGUAAGGACAAUCUGAUUUAAUACCAUCAGUGAUUUUUCAUUUUUUCUCUUUAGUUUUAAUAUGUUUGAUAACUGUAUGGUUAAGCAAUCUAUGCAAUUUUAUCUUGUCGUAUGUUUGAGCUCAUUUUUUGUUGCACUUCUGAAUAUUUGGUAUUAAUUAUGUGAUAUCGGACAAUACUAUUAACUUGUUAAUUGCUUAAAUCUAAUAUCUUGUCAAAGUCACUAAUAGCAUUUCAUCAUGCAAUGAGUUAAACAUGGAACAAAUGAUGACAUGCGGUUGUGGAAUGUGUUAGAUCUCUGGGAUUCUAUGUCCUUAUGCUUGCAGGGCAACACAAUACAUUUGUUAAAACAUUGAAGACUGUGAUGUCCGCAGAAAAUUAUACGUCAACUUAUGCACCAGGCAUGAUGAAAUUAGCCAAAGACAGUGCUUGGAAGUGGCAAGCGACAAUUUGCUUCUACCAAUGACUUCAGAUCUUAAACCUGUUUCAAGCAAGGCCAGCAAUGACAUUAUGUUCAAAACAGUUUAGCCAGACACACUUGUUCACACCCCUCUACUACAUAUAACCUAGAGGUACAUUUUUUCUUUACAUUCUUUCUAUACGAUUGGGAUUAGGCUUAUCCAGUUCAAUACAUUAUUUCACAAAACUUAUACCAACUUAUUCCUAAUUAUAGUGGACACAAUUAACUUACUUUGGCAAUUGUUUCGAAGAGGUUGACAUCAACUACCAGUGAUGACAAUCUCUUGUAAUGUUUUGGUGCUAUCUACUAAAUAUUACUACUACAUAAUAUUGACAAUUCAUCUAUGUGCAGGCCCGUGAUAACCAUUUAGAUCGACCAGAUAAAGGACUUGGACAUCAACAAUUUGCCCAGAAACCAAUAAGAUAUUGUAAUCAUAAGCAAUCACCCAUCUCUUUGGAUGGUGCUCUAUUGUGAUUCUUUCCUCUAUGACUGUUAAAUAAGCAAUGUAUUGCACUUUUGUUAUGCAAAAGUAUGGCGACCAUGUAUCAACCAGUGCAUCUAUUUUAUACACUAAUUAUGACUUACUAGAAAUUUUAUUACAUUAAUCAUUUUUAGAUAGCUACUCAUCGCAAACGAAAUAAACUGUUCAGGGACACUUGACCCAACAUGCUUGUGACCGACCUUAGAAUAAUUUUUUGUCACUUAAUAUAGACAACUUCUACGAGGUUAAUAUUUCUUCAAAUUUUAACAAAAUCAUUGGCCACAUGAAAACAUACACAUGUUUCCGUUGGCAUGUUAAGUAGACGGGAACAACAUGCGGGGUAUGUACGCCAUUACCUUAAACGAAGCAAAAUUAUCUUGUGUUUAUCAAAGUUUGAAACUAAUUCUGUGCUUACAAAGAAUGUAUGAAUAACGCAUUAUACUCAUACACCAAAUUUUAAUAUGAUGGAAUCAAGUAAUUCUGUCUUAAUCAAAGUUUUUAGACUUACAAGAUGAUGGUCAAGUUUAUAUAAAAGCAAAUAACACUGAAAUCUAAUCAUCCUAUACAAACAAAUAUGAUUUAUUCAAUUAUAGCAAACAAUUGUUUUAUCGGAGUUAAUUACAUUAUUGCUAAACUUGUAUAAGUUUUCCUGUUUCAAACAUAUCUACUUAAUUACAUUAUUCAUCGACAAUGUUACUUUGCCAGUGGAAGUUUCAUUUUUUCAUACCUUAAUCACUAUUUAAUGCUUCGUUUUCCAAUAGUUCUAAUUCUUCAAAUUUUGGUUUUAUUCUUCCAUAAUUAUAAAUUGAUACUGAUUCGCAUGACUCAAAUUAAAGUGGUUAAUUACUCUAAAGUAUAAAUCUAGCAGUCAAUAAUUACAUAAAAAUAAUUGCAAAAAAAAAGUUAAUAAGGAAUAGUAUAAAUUUAAAAACUGCCAAAGUUACGAGAUAUAUGCUUGAUAUUUAAAUCAUGGCCAUAAUACUUUCUCACAUUAUAUAUAUAUAUAUAUAUAUAUAAUGUGAUUCAGUUCUUUAAUUAACCACUCUAUGAAUAAAUAUGAGAAUUAAGUACAUAUUAUGCCACAACCUUAUUGAAGUGUUCCCACUACAAUAUUAGUAGUCAACAUUAGGUCUAAACACCCACAUAAAUCCAAGGGAUCUAGAUCUACAAAUAUUAACCACUCUAUGAAUAAACAUGGGGAUGAAGUACAUAAUUGCCACGACCAUAUUGGAAUGUUUCCACUACCAUAUUCGUGUGUCAACGUUGCGUCUAAACAUUUAUAUACAUCCAAGCAAAUUUAUAUUUGUAAAUAAAUAUAAAAUAUGGAAUGAAAAUAAUCGGUAGAAAAUAUAAAUUACAAACAAUAAACUUAAAAUACAUUUGAGAAAGUAAUUAAAUCCACAAUUUAGAUCCUUGAAUUUCACACUCAUCACCUUAGCUUAAAACAUUAGCCACUCAUAUUAAUAAAAAAAACACUCAUUUUGUUUUAUAAAUUUGUAAAAGUAUAAUACAAGAAAAAUUAAAAUAAAGAAGAGAAAAAAAAAAUCUCUUCUUAUUAACUACACUUCUUCAUAAAAUUCACUCUAAAUUUCUCUAGGAAACUCACCUCUAAAAUUCUACACACCGAAUUAUCAAAUCUCUUGCCUUUAUAUAAAGGUAAAUUCUAGGUUGAUCAAGUGUGGGUAUUUACAUGAUAUUUUUGGUGAACUUGCAACCACAACCUUUAAAUGACCUUUGAUAAUACAAAUACAAUCCAAGGGGUCCAAAAUUGCAAGUAUUGUCAUGCAUAAUAAAACGGUUCAUUCAACAUAAUCAAUGGCUAUAAAGAAGUCAAAUCGGGAUCCUCCAUUGGAUUUUUUUUUCUUAAUUAUUCAAGGUGGUUGAAUCACUAUAUUGAUAAGUAUUAAAUUUAGUAUAAAGAGGUGCAUGUGAGCUCAGACACACGACACAUAUCAACUUUUCAGAAUUAAUGUUAGAUAAAACGGCUACCAAUAUUUUUGUGAAAAUUAAAAUUAAAAUUUUUACUUUUAUUUAAUGUAUACUUUCUAGUAUUAAUCAUUAAUGAACAAUUUUUUAUUUCAUCGCCGUCUAGAUUGCUUUUAUCUUAUACAAAUUUAUUUAAAACCUUUAAAUAGUUUCUAACCACUAUAUAAUUUUAUCUGUCGUCCUUAAUCUUGUUAUCCACAACUGACCAACAUAUUGUUACCUACCAUUAUAGUUGUGUAAUUCACCUUUUGUUAACUGACUUCACUAAUAUAUUUUAAAAGAAACGUGGCCAUCUGUUGCUCGUUGGAUCACUUGCUUUUAAAUCCAAUAAUUCCGUGAGAUAAAGACAAAACGCUUGCUAUAGCGCUACAGUUACAACAUAGACGUGGCCGUAGAGGCGAGAAAAAAAAUCUAUUUGUUUAGUCACUGUACACUUUUUCAUUCAUUUUGUCCGCUUCCAAAUCCUCGGGAGAAACAACACAAAUAAAAAAAAGAUUUUAAGAAAUUUGAUGCCUUGUUCGCCGAAUCUCUCCACUUUUAAAUAGUGUCGUGAUCCUGAUCGUGUGAUCUGGUAAUGGUAUGACAAUUACUUUGGAGAAAACACCGGCCCACUUUUAAUAAAAUAAAUUUUAUACCAAACGAAUCAUAAGGCAAAAACACUGCACUUACCUAUCCAUACUGAUUAAACUCCCUCACCAUCACAUUUUAAUAAUGACAAUUGGUUGUGUUAGCAUUUUGGUCAAAAGGCUGGACCCCCCCGCCCCCACAAAACAAACAAAAAAAAAUUAUGAUAAUAAUUAACAUUCAUAAAUAAAAAUUAAUAAUGGGUGUGUUAGCAUUUUGGUCAAAAGCGGGUUUGACCUUCACAUUAAUUGGAAUUUUGGAUCUAUAAUAUGAUUUUCACCGAAAAUAUAAUUUUGCCGCUAAUUAUUUGGGUAAUCAGAUAAUAAUAACAAAAAAAUGUUAUCUCUCACCUAUAACUUGAGGAGAUAAUAAUAAAAGUCUUUCAUCAUAAUCUACUGUUAGUUUCUCUUCUUCAUUUUUUUCUCCUUUGAAGUCUUUCAACAAAAAUGGGUGGCAUCAUCUCAACCUUCUUCUCAGCGGACACAAUUCGUCCAAUUUUAUUUUACGUCGGUGGACAAGCAAAGUAUAUAUGGGGUCUUAAAGGUAAUCUCGAUGACUUGCAGACUCAAAAGGAGAACUUGAUUGCGAAAAAACAAGAUCUGCUGAAUAAGGUUAAGCUUGCCGCGCAACAACCCCGAAUCAGACGGACGACGACGGUGGAACUUUGGUUUAAAAGGGUGGAAGAAAUGGAAACUAAAGUUGAAAAUCUGCAAAAAGAAGGAGAUCAACAGGUUGAUAGACUGUGUCUUGGAGGCUUCUGUUCCACGGACUUGAUUUCAAGCUACGACUUCGGCAAAAAAGUGGAGAACUUGAGAGAAAAAGUGAUCGAACUGAAGAAAGAGGGGGAAGCAAU
rnacentral:lncRNA from 1 species